UUCUACCCGCACGAUGUGGCUAACACAACCACCCUCUUACAACUGCAACAAUUGCCGCCAUUCAACCAACUUGCGUUGACAAACCCAACAGCGUUCUACCUACAACCCAUCAUUGAUGGUGCCCUCUGUUAGAUUGCUUAUGAGUUAUAGUUCAAUAAUGAAGUUUUUUGGUUGAUGUUUGUGGCUUCCCAGAAAUAAUAAAGUACAUUUCUAGAUUCUCAUGUGCUACUUGUCUCCAAAUGUGGUUGAUAAUUAUUUUGCUCUAAGAUCGAGAGUAAUGAUGUAUAAAUCAUCGUUGUCGUGUGAUACUCGGUCAAUUGAGCAUUAGCACACACAAACAUGACGAGAAUGGUAUAAUCUCCAAAAAUAUGUACUUUGUAGGUGGGACCCUAUAGCCAUGCAAAAUAUGCUAUGUUAGGCAUGCCGAUGGAAACAUGUGAUGCAUAUGUUUCGUGAACCUGUUGAUAUUAUAUGUGAUUUAUAUUACGAUAUUUUACUAAAAUACUAAUAUUUAUUACUAGUAAGUUAUAACAUUCUAUCAAUCUUAAAAACCUAACCAUAAAUAUUCCAUCGUAACUAGGUUUACCAAACUAUACAAAUACACAAUAAAUACAAAAUUAACAAUACAAUAACCAAUAUUUAUGAGCUUAAUAAAUUUAAUUUUAGGGUUGGUCGAUGAUAAUCAUAUUGACUUCCCCUGACUCCUUGAUUGUAAAUAUGCCUAGACCAUGCCUCUUUCUACUAUACGGCAAACAGGGACCACUCUAGGAGACUAGGACGUUGCUUGAGACGAAGACGCCAUCAUUGAUGUAGACUAUCGACCAUCUGACUGCAGUCGAUAAAAAUUAACUAUUUCUGUGAGGCGUUUGACCAAAAAUGACAAAACUUUACUAGGUUCUGUUGGUUGAGUGAGGGCCGACAAAAGUUGAUAAAUUUUCGUGGGAUUAUUUCAAGCCGACAUAAAUUAUUUUGGCUAAUGGAAGUUUCUUUUUUCCUUAGUUGUGUGGUGCUAUACAUAUGCAUGUCUGAUUCACGUGAUAAACUAGGCUAGAAAAACAAUUAUUUGACAUGGAUUGUUGUGGAGGACCAUACCAACUGUGACUGCCAUCUCAAUCCAGCUGACAUCUAAGUGACCUUUGAAUAAAUUAUUAAGCUGACAAAACUUUGACACCAAGAAGAAAGUUUAAGUAUGUAAAUAUUUAUGUUCAUCAAGCUGCUAUUCCCUAUCAUUGGCAUGAACAUUGUCAUCAUUUAGUUCCUAAGAAUAUAAUAAAAACAAGAAGAGCCACCUCACGAGAAUCCUUUAACAUAGACUAAAUAGUAGUUUUUGUGGAACACAACAGAACUGUACACCAUUUUCAGCGGCCAAGGUUAUUUUCGGCGGCCAGGACUUAGCCGCCGAAAAUAAACCUAUUUUCGGCGGCUUCUGACACAGCCGCUGAAUAUACAUUUAUUUUUGGCGGCUACUAACACAACCGCCGAAAUAAGGUUUUUAAAACCGUCGGGCUCCUUCUCUAUUCUCUCUGUUUCUUCUCUUCUUCUCCUCGCUCGGUCGCCGCCGUACGCCGCCACGCCGCCCGCCCGUCGCCGCCGUGCCCGCCACAGCUACAUCCACGCCCCCGCCGAGGCGCCGCGCCACCCCGUGCAGCCAUGCCCCCGGCGGCUCCGUCUCGUCGUCUGCCGUCACCCUCGGCUCCCAUCGACCAAGAAAACUUGAAUACUCCUUAGCCAAAAAAUGGAUGAAUUUCACCUUCCUUAUCUUAAGCUCCUUGAUUUUUCUACUAAGUGUCGCUAUUCUAACCAUUAUCCCUUGGGUAAACCAUAUUUGAUUAUCCAGCCAAAGGACCCAGAAGAUAAAAACAAUUUUUAAUUGCUAUUUCGAGACAAAUGAAUUAGCGUGAUUCGAAAAGGAUUACGACCUUCCCCCUUGACCUUUGUCAUACUUCUUUAGUCUAAUCGAUAGAAUCAAGAAUAGAAAUCACUGAAGAAGUUGAUAAGCGAAGCUUCGACGAUAAUAGGAACAUGGUGACAAUAGGACGAACGAUGAUGCCUUUGUCUAAGAAUGUUAUCUAGAAGAAAUCUCAAUCAAUUGUCGGUACAACGAAAAGAUAGAAACAUGCACCCUUGAGUAUGAAACAUUUAUAUGUAAGAGGAAGGAGGAAUGUAAUUGCUCAUGCCUAAUCAUAUUAUUGAGAGUUUUAAGGCGAGACUUAUGGCAAAGGGUUAUACACAAAAAUAGGGGAAAGGUCAUUUCAAUACUUAAUCAAUUUUUGCCCUUCUAAUGACCAUACAUGUGUUACUUUUUUUGGCUGCCUCACAUGGUCUUAUCGUUCACCAGAUGAAUGUUACGUCUGUUUUCCUAAAUGGAGAGCUUAAUGAACAGAUCUACAAUGACUAGCCUGGUGGAUUUACACCAAUUGGUAAAGAGGAAAAGGUGUUUAAAUUAAAACAAAUUUAUGGUUUAAAACAAGAACCAAAGCACAUGAGAAAUUUGAUAAAGUUUUGACUUUGGCUAAAUUUGUUGCAAAUGAAGCUGAUAAAUGUGUCCAUUACCGGUUUGACAGGGGUGAAGGUAUAACAUUUUUUAUGUGGAUGAUAUAUUAAUCUUUUGUAAUGGUGUUAAUAUGAUCGAGGAAGUAAAGUAAUUUUUGUCUAGUAACUUUGAAAUAAACAAUCUGGGAGAGAUUAAUGUUGUUCUUAACAUAAAGAUGUUCAGAGGAGGAGGAAAUAUGGGGUUAUUCUUGUGCAAUCCUAUUAGGUUGAAAGGUCGAUGAGUUGCUUUGGAUAUAGUGACUACACGUCUGGUCCAACUACUUAUGACCCAAGUGUGCUAUUAAGGAAAAUCAUAUAAUCGCAUAUGAUCAAUUGAGAUAUUGUCAAAGCAUGGUCUUCUCAUGGAUUUGGCUAGUUCAACGAGGCCUGAUAUCUCGUUUGCUAUGAGCAAACUCAGUUGCUUUGUCUCCAAUCUUAGGGAUGAUCAUGACAUGCCCUAGAGAGGGUAUUGCGCUAUCUAAAAGGGACUAUGAGUAAUGUCAUUUACUAUACCACACACCUAAGGGUACCAGAGUGUUAUAGUGAUGCAAACAAAAUAUGUGAUGGUGAUUAGAUUUAAGCCACAAGUAGAUAUGUGUGCUUACUUGAAGGUGUGGUUGUUUCAUCGAAGUCUUGUAAGCAGACCAUCUUAACAAGGUCAACAAUAAAAGUAGAACUCACAACAUUAGAUAUUGCCAAAGUUGAUGCCGAGUGGCUUCGUGAACUCCUUAUGGAUUUACUAGUAGUUGAAAAUCGAAUACUGGUUAUCUAUAUGAGCUAUAAUGAUUAAACAUUGGUAAUCAAAGUGAACAAUUCUUAGGUUAACAUGAAUACUACAAAGCAUGUCAAAAAACGGUUGAAACUGUUAAAACACCAAGAAAUUCUAGAUUAAUUGUGUUGGACUAUGUCCAUACUUCUAAGAAUUUGGUAUGCGAGUUUAUAGAAGAUUUGUCACAUAAUGUGAUAGAUGGUGCAUCGAGGAAGAUGGGCUUGAGACCCACUUAAUGCCAUUCCAUAGUAGUAGCAUUUUCUAUGUGAUUGGAGAUCUCAUAGAGUAGAAUGGUGAAACAAGCUAGAGAAUGACUGAUGGAGAGACUCCUUAAAUAAAAUCUAGGUAAUUUCAUAUGCACAUUUCUCCUUUGAUGUACGAUAGGCUAACUAAAAUAUUAAUAUGAUUUGAGUGACUUAUCUAAGUAGGGAUGUUAUCUUACAGAACAUCCUAGAAGGAACACACCUAUAUGAGUUUCACUGCUAGUCACGAUCUAUGAUAUGUGGGCAAUAUUUAUAUACUCAUGAAAGGCCUCGAAGUUUGACUUAUAUGAUUCAAGCCAAGGGGAUUCUUGUAAUAGUCUAGUACGAGAUAAGAACUUUGGAGAAACUCACUUCAUGCAAAAUUGUCAAUUCAAGGUAUAGUCCAUUGUUCAGAUAUGAAUAUGUAAUCCCUGUUCUAGAUGGAUGGUCAACUUAACAGCCUCCACCAAAACCCUUAUAUAUCAAAGAGUAGUGGAUUUGAAUUUGUCUAAUUUGAAUUUGUCUAAUAUGUAGUUUAUGGGCUUGGCUCAUUUAAAGUAUUUAAUAAUUCUGAAAGACAAGAUUAAACUAACUAUGUAUGAUCCUUUAGCAUCGUGCAGAUGGUCAAUGGGACAGUUACAUGGUUUAUAUAGAUGGACCUAUCUAUAUUCCUUCAGUAGUUGAGAAAAAGGUAAAGGUGUGUCACACUCACACAUGCGCUGCCUCCACCGAGACAAGGCAUGGCGUUGCAAGGUGAGGCAUGGCAUGGUGCAACACGAUCGCAGUCAUGGUCGUGGCGCGGUGUAGCAUUGUUGUGGAUAGAUCGAUAAACUAUUGUUGUAGUUAGAGUACAUGAGUUUUUGAAUGCAACACUAGAAUUUUCUCAAUUUAACUUAAUUAAGAAAUUAUAUCUUGAUGACAUAGAGUUACCUGACCAUUGAUCUCACAUGCCCUUUUAGCUCUCUCGUUCUCUAGUCUCGCCUGACUAUUUAGGUCUCCUGACUCGCCAAUAGAAAGACCAUCCUAUCAUUUGCUCUCGAAUACUUCUGUGUCAUAACUUGAAAGUCGCCUAGAGCGGGAGGUGAAUAGGCGAAACCUAAAAUUUAUAAACUUAAACACACACAAAGGUCGGGGGUUAGAGUUAGAAUUAAAUUCUAGUCCAGAAGAAUAUCUCUGUUGCUAGGAGUUGCUCAAGGAUUGCAGAUGAUGUAUGUGAGCCAACUCAAAUUCACACUAGCAAGGAAAUGUUAGAGAGAGGAAAACAAAUCAAACAAGAAUCAAGGCGAGUGAACACGAUGAUUUGUUUUACCGAGGUUCGGUUCCAAAGAACCUAGUCCCCGUUGAUGAGGUCACAAAGACCGGGUCUAUUUCAACCAUUUCCCUCUCUCAAACGGUCACUUAGACCGAGUGAGCGUUUUCCUUAAUCUCUCGGGUCACUUAGACCCCGUAAGGACCACCACACACUUAGUUGUCUCUUGCUUCAAUUACAAGUCACUUGAGAAAUAGACGGGAAAAGAAAAAGGCCAAACCAAGCAACAAGAGCAACAAAGAACACAAGAUAUCCUCUCACAAGCCCUAAUGCACUAGAGUUGAUUUUGGGGCUUUGAGUGGAUUGAUUGCUUUGAUUGUGUCUUGGAGUGUUGGACUUUGCUCUUGCAAUGAAUGAGAGUUCAGAAAUGCUUGGAUGGUUAUGAAUGAGGUGGUUGGGGGUAUUUAUAGCCCCCAACCACUUCCAUAGCCGUUGGUGAAGGCUGCUAGCGAUGGGCGCACCGGACAGUCCGGUGCAUCACCGGAGAGCCACUGUGUACUGUCCGGUGCGCGCCACAUCAGCGCAACCGUUAGGGUUCGGAGCUGGUCAACCGUUGGAGUCUUUGUCGUCUUGUUGCACCGGACAGUCCGGUGCCCUCUGACUUCUGACAUCCACUGUUCAUCGCGACAGAGUCGACCGCUGGCGCAUAGAGCCGUUGCUCCGCUGGUACACCGGACAGUCCGAUGAAUUAUAGCGAAGCGCGCCCUAGAAUUCCUGAGAGUGGCUGGUUCAUCUGCUGUACGACCUGGUGCACCGGACCCUGUCCGGUGCGCCAUUUUUUAGCACACUCAAGUCCUUUUGCUCCAAUUAAAUUGUGUCCCUAACUUAAUUUCUUUCUUGGUUUGUGUUGAACCUUAUGCACCUAUAAUACAUGAAUUCUUGACAAACUAGUCAGUCCAUGUGUUUGUGUUGGUCGUCAACCACCAAAAUUAAUUAUAGGAAAUGGUUAACCCUAUUUCCCUUUAAAUCUCCCCCUUUUUGGUGGUUGAUGCCAACACAAACCAAAGCAAAUAAUAAAUGUAGAAAUAUAACUAGUUUGGAAUUGAGAUGAAUGUGCAUAGGUUACUUGGAAUUAAACCAAUAAAAUAUUUUCAACAUAUGAAUAAGAGUGAAUGGAUUGGCUUUCUUUUAUUUAAUAUUUUGGACCACAUUUGCACCACAUGUUUUAUUUUUGCAAAUCUUUUGGAAAUCUAUUCAAAAACUUCUGCAAAUAGUCAAAGGUAUAGGAAUAUGAUUGCAAGAAGCAUUUUUUAGGAUUUUGAAAUUCCUCCCCCUGUUUCAAAUGCUUUUCCUUUGACUACAUAAAAGCUCCCCCUAAAUGAAAUUCUCCCCUUAGCUUUCAAGAGGGUUUUGAAGUAGAUACCAAUUGAAAAAAUUUCUCUCACAUAUGAGUUGAAAGUUAGAUACCAAUUGAAAAUAUAUUAAUUGAAAUUCUUCCAUACUUAAUGUGAAGUUUUGAAGAUACCAAUUGAGAAAUUUUCUUCACAUACCAAUUGAAAAUUCAUUUUGAUCAAAUACCAAUUGAAAUAUACACCAGUUGAAGUUUACCAAUUAAAGAAAAUUUCAUUUUGAAUUUUUUUGAAAUGGUGGUGCGGUCCUUUUGCUUUGGGCUUAAUAUUUUCUCCCCCUUUGGCAUUAAGCGCAAAAAAUGGAGAAUUCGAGAGCCCUUUUUCUCCCUUUAUGGGGUCUAAUACUUUCUCACAAAUGGUAAAAUGAAUAUGAGUGAAUGAUUAUACCAAUUGAGAGUGUGGAGGAACAACGACAAAGGGUAUACCGUCAGAGUUGGAGUGGAAGCCUUGUCUUUGCGGAAAACUCCAUUUCUUUUUCAAUCUACGACUUAGUAUAGAAAUACACUUGAAAACACAUUAGUCAUAGUCUUGGCACAAGAAGAGUAAGAAAUAUGUAUUUGCACCAAAUGAAAGAGAUAUGAUCAAAUGUAUAUAAAUUAGCUAUGUGUGCAAAGUUUCAAUCAAAGUUCCGUGAAUCAAGUAUAUUUAGCUCAUUCCUAAGUUUGCUAAAUGUUUUCUCAUCUAGUGGCUUGGUAAAGAUAUCGGCUAAUUGGUUGUGGGUGCUCACAUAAGCAAUUUCGAUAUCCCAUUUUGUUGGUGAUCUCUCAAAAAGUGAUACCGGAUGUCUAUGUGCUUAGUGCGGCUAUGUUCAACGGGAUUAUCCGCCAUGCGGAUUGCACUCUCAUUAUCACAUAGGAGAGGGACUUUGCUCAAUUUGUAUCCAUAGUCCCUAAGGGUUUGCGUCAUCCAAAGUAAUUGCGCACAACAAUGACUUGUGACAAUGUACUCGGCUUUGGCGGUGGAAAGAGCUACAGAGUUUUGUUUCUUUGAAGCCCAUGACACCAGGGAUCUUCCUAAAAACUGACAAGUCCCUGAUGUGCUUUUCCUAUCAAUUUUACAUCCGGCAUAAUCGGCGUCGGAAUACCCAAUUAAAUCAAAGGUAGAUCCCUUGGGGUACCAAAGCCCAAACUUAGGAGUGUAAACUAAAUAUCGCAUGAUUCUUUUCACGGCCCUAAUGUGAACUUCCUUAGGAUUUGCCUGGAACCUUGCACACAUGCAUAGAGAGAGCAAAAUAUCCGGUCGAGAUGCACAUAAAUAGAGUAAAGAUCCUAUGAUCGACCGAUAUACCUUUUGAUCUACGGAUUUACCUCCCGUGUCGAGGUCGAGAUGCCCAUUGGUUCCCAUGGGUGUCUUGACGGGUUUGCCAUUCUUCAUCCCAAACUUCUUAAGUAUAUCUUGUAUGUAUUUUGUUUGGCUGAUGAAGGUGCCCUCUUGGAGUUACUUGAUUUGAAAUCCAAGGAAGUACUUCGACUCCCCCAUCAUAGACAUCUUGAAUUUCUGUAUCAUGAUCCUACUAAACUCUUCACAAGUUGACUUGUUAGUAGACCCAAAUAUAAUAUCGUCAACAUAAAUUUGACAUAUAAACAAGUAUUUUGCAACAGUUUUAGUAAAGAGAGUAGGAUCGGCUUUACCGACUUUGAAUCCACUAGUGAUAAGAAAAUCUCUCAGACAUUCAUACCAUGCUCUUGGGGCUUGCUUGAGCCCAUAAAGCGCCUUUGAGAGUUUGUAAACAUGGUUAGGGUACUCACUAUCUUCAAAGCCGGGAGGUUGCUCAACAUAGACCUCUUCCUUGAUGGGUCCAUUGAGGAAGGCACUUUUCACGUCCAUUUGAUAAAGCUUGAAGCCAUGGUAAGUAGCAUAGGCAAGUAAUAUACGAUUUGUCUCAAGCCUAGCUACAGGUGCAUAAGUUUCAUCAAAGUCCAAACCUUCGACUUGUGAAUAACCUUUGGCCUCAAGUCGGGCUUUGUUCCUUGUCACCACACCAUGCUCAUCUUGCUUGUUGCGGAAUACCCAUUUGGUACCUACAACAUUUUGAUUAGGACGUGGAACUAAAUGCCAUACCUCAUUCCUCGUGAAGUUGUUGAGCUCCUCUUGCAUUGCCACCACCCAAUCCGGAUCUCUUAGUGCAUCCUCUAUCCUGUAUGGCUCAAUAGAGGACACAAAAGAGUAAUGUUCACAAAAAUGUGCAACUCGAGAUCUAGUGGUUACCCCCUUGUGAAUGUCACCAAGAAUGGAGUUGACGGGGUGAUCUCGUUGAAUUGCUUGGUGGACUCUUGGGUGUGGCGGUCUUUGAUCUCUUAUUUCUUGAUCAUCUUCCUUGUCUUGGUUAUCAUCAUCUCCCCCUUGAUCCAUGUCCUCCUCUUGAGGUGGCUCAUCCUCUUGAUCUUCAUCUUCAUUAUCUUGAGCCUGAUCCUCGUCUUGAGUUGGUGGAGAUGCUUGCAUGGAAGAUGACAAUUGAUCUUGUGCUUGUGAAGGCUCUUCGAAUUCCUUGGGACACAUAUCUCCAAUGGACAUGUUCCUUAGUGCGACGCACGGAGCUUCUUCAUCAUCUAGUUCAUCAAGAUCAACUUGCUUCACUUGGGAGCCAUUAGUCUCAUCAAACACAAUGUCACAAGAUACUUCAACUAAUCCAGUGGAUUUGUUGAAGACUCUAUAUGCCCUUGUGUUUGAGUCAUACCCUAGUAAAAAGCCUUCUACAACCUUAGGAGCAAAUUUAGAACUUCUACCUCUUUUAAUAAGAAUAAAGCAUUUACUCCCAAAGACUCUAAAAUAUGAAACAUUGAGAUUUUUACCAGUGAGGAGUUCAUAUGAUGUUUUCUUGGGGAUUCAGUGAAGGUAGAGCUGGUUGAUGGAGUAGCAAGCGGUGUUGAUUGCUUCUGCCCAAAACCGUUCCGGAGUCUUGUAUUCAUCAAGCAUGGUUCUUGCCAUGUCCAAUAGAGUUCUAUUCUUCCUCUCCACUACACCAUUUUGUUGAGGUGUGUAGGGAGAAGAGAACUCAUGCUUGAUGCCGUCCUCCUCAAGAAAUCCUUCAAUUUGAGAGUUCUUGAACUCCGUCCCAUUAUCGCUUCUUAUCUUUUUGAUCCUUAAUCCAAACUCAUUUUGAGCACGUCUCAAGAAUCUCUUUAAGGUCUCUUGGGUUUGAUAUUUUUCCUGCAAAAAGAAUACCCAAGUGAAGCGAGAAUAAUCAUCCACAAUAACAAGACAUUACUUACUUCCGCCGAUGCUUAUAUAAGCAAUCAGACCGAAUAGAUCCAUGUAGAGUAGCUCAAGUGGCAUGUCCGCUGUCAUGAUGUUUUUGUGUGGAUGAUGGACUCCAACUUGCUUCCUUGCUUGACAUGCGCUACAAAUCAUGUCUUUCUCAAAAUGAACAUUUGUUAGUCCUAAAAUGUGCUCUCCCUUUAGAAGCUUAUGAAGAUUCUUCAUUCCAACAUGGGCAAGUCGGCGAUGCCAGAGCCAGCCCAUAUUAGUCUUAGCAAUUAAGCAAAUGUCUAGUUCAGCUUGGUUAUCAUUAAAAUCAACUAAGUAUAGCUGACCAUCUAAUACUCCCUUAAAUGCUACUGAAUCAUCACUUCUUCUAAAGACAGUAACACCUACAUCAGUAAAUAAAUAAUUGUAGCCCAUUUUGCAUAAUUGGGAAAUAGAAAGCAAAUUGUAAUGUAAAGAAUCUACAAGAAAAACAUUGGAAAUAGAAUGGUAAGAAAAUAUAGCUAUUUUUCCCAACCUUUGACCAAACCUUGAUUUCCAUUCCCGAAUGUAAUAGCUCUUUGGGGAUCUUCAUUUUUCUCAUAGGAGGAGAACAUCAUUUUCUCCCCUGUCAUGUGGUUUGUGCACCCGCUAUCGAUUAUCCAACUUGAUCCACUGGAUGCAUAAACCUGCAAAACAAUUUAGGCCUUGUUCUUACGUACCCAAACAGUCUUGAGUCAUUUGACGUUAGAAACAAGCACCUUGGGCACCCAAACACAAGUCUUGGGACUCUUGUGUUUGCCCCCAACAUAUUUGGCAACUAUCUUGCCUGAUUUGUUAGUUAAAACAUAUGAAGCAUCAAAAGUCUUAAAUGAAACAUUAUGUGCAUUUGAUGCAGUAGGAAUUUUUUUUCUAGGCAUUUUGACAUGAGUGGUAUGCCUAGAGCUAGACGCCUCAUUUUUGUACAUAAAUGCAUGGUGAGAAACAGAAUGAGGUUUCCUAGCAUGAAUCUUCAUAAUCUUAUGUUCAAGAUAGUUUGCAGGAUAUACAAUGUAACCCUCACUAUCCUAAACCAUGGGAGCCUUACCCUUAACAAAAUUAGACAAUCUUUUAGGGGUAUUAAGCUUGGUGUUGUUUUGAUUUCCUUGUUGGAAACCAAUACCAUCCUUAAUGUCAGGGCGUCUCCCAUUAUAGAGCAUGCUUCUAGCAAAUUUAAAAUUUUCAUUCUCUAACUCAUGCUCGGCAAUUUUAGUAGUUAAUUUAGCUAUAUGAUCAUUUUGUUGUUUAAUCAUGGCAAGGUGAUCAUCCAUAGCUUCAAUAUUAACAUCUCUACAUCUAGUGCAAAUAGUAACAUGAUCAACAGUAGAUGUAGAUGGUUUGCAGGUAUUUAAUUAUUCUAUCUUAGCACUUAAUCUAAUAUUCUCAUCUCUAAGACAGGAAAAAGGAUCAUUGCAAACAUUCAAUUUUUCAAUCUUAGAAACUAAACUAGCAUUUUCAGUUCUAAGACUUGAAAUUGAAUCAUGAUAAAUGCUAAUAUCCUUAGAUAAGUUUUCACAUUUUCUAUUUCCUGAGCAUAAGCAUUUUUUAAUUUAACAAUUUUAUUGUUCUAUUUAACGAGGAAGUCCUCUUGGCUUUCCAAGAGGUCAUCCUUCUCGUUAAUGGUUUCAAUUAGUUCAUUUAUUUUUUUCUUUUGUUCCAUGUUAAGGUUGGCAAAAAGAGCAAGUAAAUCAUCUUCAUUAUCGCUAGAGCUACCCUCAUCACUAGAUGUUGUAUAUUUGGGGUGGCUCACUAUACGACGGUUGAUCUUUAGCGACUCUUAUUAGGGACUGACGGUUGGUCGCUAAAAGUUAUGGACCGACGGUUGGUCGCUAAAUGCGUUUAUAGCGACGGUCUGUGGGUCGCUAAAAGUCUAGAAAUUUAACGACAUAUGGUUGGUCGCUAUAGAGGUAAGUGUGUGACUGAUGGUGGGUCGCUAUAGGGGUACGUGAUUUUUGUGUUUCUUAUUUACUCACCAAAGCCCAUCUAAAGGCCUACUAAACAAACGAAACCCUAUUUCACGCACCAAACCACAAGCGCAGCCGCCGUCACUUCUGCCCCAUCACGGCCCCAUCCUGCCGCUCGUCGACGACGCCACCCCGCCCCUCGGCCGCGGUCGCCGUCAGGCAGCCAGCCACCGCGACAUUGGCCAUGAUUUUUUGUGCCUGUUCUUGCUUAACUUUAUAACUGAUAAAGUUUCCAAUCACAAGAUUUACUUAAUUUAUACUAUUAUUAUCUUCUGUUGCAGUAUUUCCUUAUUAUUAAAGCAGCAAGGUUUGCCGCUUCCUCGUGUGUCCACGUCGGCAAAUUUUUUUGCCGUCCGAUCGUUCAUCAAUGGUGACAAUCUCACCCCUGCACAGUGUGUGUGGAUGGUUCUAGUUUCUUCUCUCACCAGCUCAUGCGUCUCCAAAGUAAAAAGGAUAAGAGAGACUCUGGGUUGCCGAGGUCCGCUUUCGUAACUACAGGAGGUAGGCAAAGGAGACGGCGACGACGAAGAACAUGUACUUCCUCCAUUACGUCCUCUAUUCCUAUCAUUGCCUUUCGUUUCUUUUCUUUUCUACAAUCGGCGUUACCUGCUGCAGUCGACGGCUCGGUCCCCUUGGUAUCUAAUGCCUUUGCGCGGCACCUGAGUUCUACACUUGCGACGAACUUGAGCAUUGCAUUCGUCGUUGUUCUUGUGUCCAUUCUUGUCUCUGACUCGGGCCGCCGCGAGUUCCUCCAUUCCCACUGCCAUGGAAUACGCCAGUGCGCUGAAUGACGCCUGCGUCUUCACGGAUCUCCUCCUCCUUUUGGCUAACAUGGCUCCUCAAAGAUGACCGCGUACGUUUGUCGAGCGGCGCUGGCAAGGGCCACGUGAACUGCGUUGGUCGACGCUUCCACACGCGCCGCUAAGCCUGCCCUGCCGCCCCCUAUGCGAUGCUGCUCCUCCCCUUUCUUCUCCGCCUAGGCUGGCGCUUGGAGGAGGAUGCCACCAAGGUUACCAACUACUUAAUGUACGCGUGCAAGAUGCUCGAUGAUACACCCCAACGGAAAGCAGUGUCGUGGACGAUGGUAGUCGUGGGGAACAUUGUAGACUCCACGCCGGUUGAGGAGGAAAAACUCCAUUGGCUCUUUUGUCACCUUAAGGGAUUUGCCUAACGUUUCCUUUUUUUUCUUUUAAAUAUGAUUUCCCCCAUACGUAUGCAGAUGCAGUUGCCAUAUUUUAAUGCUCAAUGCUGCCUACUUUAAUUUUAUGCUUAAUUUUUUUUAAUGCUCAAUGCUGCCUACUUUCCUUCACUGAUUUGGCUGCUCUUUUAUUUAGCUUAUAGCAACGGAAAAAAGUUAGCACAUUCCAAAAACUUCAAAGACUGCUGUGUACGACAUCCUAUAUUACCGGUAUGAGUACUUUUGAGAGCUUAAAUGUUGUUAGUCUUCUGUUUGCUAUUACGUGCUUUUGCUUUCCUGAAAAACUUCACACAGUUUCAGCUACGAAUUGACCAAUGACGAAAACAAGAUAUAUGAAGUGGCACAAUACUCAGUUUUACUUCUAAAAAUUGAAGAGAUUUAAAGAAGGAUUAUUCCAACAAUAAAUAUCUAUACUUUUGUUAGCAUACAUUUUCUUUUCUCAUGGCAUAUAUUUUCUUAAGGGCUAGUUUGAAAAUUUUAAAUCCUCUCCGGGAUUCCCGGAUAUUGAGAAGAAAAUGAGCUAAUUUCCCACUCAAUCCCUGAGAAUACCGGAGGAGAUUUUUAAGUUUCCAAAUUAGCCCUAAGUGUAGUAACUGAUUUUCACUUAAUUUUGCAGACUGCUUCUGUUUGAAUUGAACGGCAUCUUCAGAAUCUCGGCGACGCUAAUUUCUAACUCAUAUGGGAGAGGUCUAUUUCUAGAAUUUUUGUUUUUCUUUAAUAGAUUUGCCACCUACAUUGGCAUUUUUUCCCACUGCAAUCGAUUAUAAACUACAGUUUUGCAACCUUUCAGUGACAUGAACAUCUAACCAUAUUCAAGUUUGCCCUCAUCUCAAUAUCCAGAUAUCUCCACCUCAUCGACUCAAUAGUUAACCAUAUUCAAGUUUGCCCCUUUGAAACCAUCUGCUUGGAUUUUAUCGAUUCCAUUACCUAAAAAUAUGGUACAAUUUCAGUACGCCAGUACAUAUUAUGCAAAUGAAACACAAUUAAAAUCAGCAUUGUGAACUUUAUUGUUUGCCCAUUUUUUUGAUAAAUUACCCAUUUUAUGAUUCUACUGGGCCCUUUUCGCCUUUGCCCUACAAUUAUUCCUCCUCUUCGCUCUUUUGUUUCAUUGUUUGUUCUGCUUUGCACUUCUAUUCAUUGCAUUCUUCGUCGGUGAUUGUGCUCGUCCAGUUCGUCGGCCAUGUGUUCUAUCAUUUUCGUCAGAAAUCCUUUCUUAAGCCCUCCACUUUUCUCCUUUUUUGUUACCUUCGCACUUCGUUUUUAUUGUUCAUGUUCUCUGUCGUCGAGAUCUACUGUCUCAGGUUUAUUCUGGCUUUCAUAGUAAAUAAAUUGCUCUUCUUCCCCUCAUUUCUUGCUGGACGCAUAUUAUGCUUUUCCACUUUGCGACAACACUGUUUCCCUUAUUUGUGUUCGAGUAAAGUUCAGACUUUAUCCUCAGAGGUAAUUGUUACUUGCCUUAGCUUGCACUCUAUACACAUAAAGCGCUACUGUGCUGUUGCAUCAACUGUUUCGUUCCAUAGUUUUUGUUUUAUCCCACUUGGUUUAUGUCUUAUGUGCGCAUCAAACACUUCAAGCUAACAAUUACGCUUUCUAGUUUUGUAGACAUUAAAACAAAUGUUUCACUCCAAUGUAGGCCAAACAUAUUUAAGCGGUAUCGCAACAUGUGCAUGGUACUUUAAUGCAGACAUUUCUAAGGCACAUAUGUAGUAUAACAUGUACGGGAAAAUAGAUAAACAAAACACUAUCCAUUCUUGUAAUUACAUUUCCCCUUAAACCUGUUCUCCUUACAUGUCAUGUUGACAAUCAUCUACAUUAUCUAGCUGUCUGGUAGUAGCAUUUUUGUAAAACUAACAUACAAAUCUAGCAUUAACUUUUGCCCCAAAUUUCUAAAAUCUAUUAUGAACUACAAACAAGUUCCAAGUAUUCCUUUUCACAUGAAUAUGAGCACACUUUUUAAGCCAUCCAAUAACAUUUAAUCAACAUGUAUCGUCUACAUUAUCUAGCUGUCUGGUAGAAGCAUUUUUGUAAAAUUAACAUACCAAUCUAGCAUUAACUUUUUUCCCCAAAUUUCUGAAACAUAUUAUGAACUACAAAUAAGUUCCAAGUAUUCCUUUGCACAUGAAUAUGAGCACCCUUUUUUAAGCCAUCCAAUAACAUUUAAGCAACAUGUAUGCUUAAAUUCCACAAUACUGACCAAUUACACAAAUGUUUGCUACUAUUUCAAUUUUUGUUGUCACAUCAUUUAAAGGUUACAAAAUAUUGAACUUUAGUUGCUACGACCUACAAUACUUGAAGAAGAGAUCCAGGUUUCCCAGACACCUACUUUCGAGGACAAAACCAUCAAUGAAUUGGUUGAAAUUGAUCCAGAUAUAUUCCAUGUAAUCACUUUAACUUCCUAUUUUGUUGAACUCAUUCAUUACAUCAACUACAACUCCAUCUUAUUUAUAGUAAACUUUUUUCGCGAAAUGCAGCCACAAGGUUAUAGAUGUACUAAUCGCUAUAUCACGCCUCACACAGGAAGGUAGAUGGUGGUUCCCAUCUUGCACUAAAUGCAACAAGUCUUCAAUUCAGACCUCUACUAAAUAUCGCUGCAUACGUGUGAUUGGACAGAAACUAAAUUUAGGUAACCUUUCACACAAACAAUUACUUUGUCGUUAUUCGUCUGAGAUAAAACACUUCCUCUUACUUAUCAAAUCACUGCCACACAACAUUAACAGUUCAUAAUUCAAAGAUACAAACUCGGCUUCAUUGCUACUGAUGGAACAUUCGAAGCAGAAUUCUUUUGUUUUGACAAUAUAGCUAAACAAAUAGUAGAAAAACCUUGUGAAACCCUUGUUAGUAUCCUUCUCUAGAUUUAGUUGCCAUUGUCUCUCUCAGAUUCACCUUUGCAGAUACCAUUAAUAUGUUCGCGUUCUCCGUCACAAAUCGAGUCUUUUUUGUUCUCUCCGUGUUAACAAAUCAUGGAAGGAAAAGGUCAGCACCAUGUACCAUACAAAACUAUCAACAACAAGAAUUAGUGACACAAGAUGACAUAUUAGCCUCACAACCACAUAAAACUCUCCAACAACAUCGUUUGCAAAGCUAUCCACUUUUGGUGACCAUAAAAAUGUGGUGAGAAUUUUUUAGUGCAAACUACAACUAUUUCACAUGAACUUAUAUAUGUGCAUAGACUAAUGAAAUCUAUUUGACAGGCAUGUCACAGCCUUGCAUAUUCUAAUGCACUACAUGAUAUAGAGGUAAGUUUUUCUACCAUCACGUUUAGGCUCCAUAUGUACCCAAAAAUGACAUAAUUGUCUACCUCAAUUAUUUUGUGAUGGGAGAGAGUAUAUCUAUUCAUAAUUUGAAGACAGUGAUUUUUUUCCAUACAUAUCUAUGCAGGCAUAAAAUUACACACAAAAGAAAAAGAAUACUAUCUAUGCAAGAUGGACUCGAAAAUCCUUUCAACAUGUGGAUCAAUCUAAUUAUUUUAGAUUUUUUCUAAAUUUGCCUUUCAAUGGCUGAAGUCCCAUUUUGAUGCAAAUGAAAAAGCGAACAUCCUGUAGACUGCUGUUGCUGUGCAUCUCAACUGUUUUGGUCUUCCAAUCUUUUUGGAAGUAUUAUUAUUUUUACUUUCACUUACUCUUAUAAUUGCAUCAUGUUACACGAUGUUGACGUCAAUAUGGAUAUACACCCAAACAAUCUAAAUUCAAGGUCUUGUCAAAGCAAACUAAGGUUCUUUUUUUAAUACAAAGUCGUAUGGAUUCUGUUAGAUCUUGUAUUUUUUCCUACUAAUGUCAAUAUCAACCCGCAAGCGUCUCUUAAGUCACUCUUUUUAGGAUCAUUAUUUCACAUACUUUAAACCACAUAUGAAAUUUUGUUAGGCACACUAUUUGACAAUUCUUAUCCACUUACAGAAUGUUGACUAGCUUUCAGAACACCUUAACAAAAAAGAUCUUUUCUAAAUUUGCCUUUCAAUGGCCAAAAUCCCAUUUUUAUGCAAAUGAGAAAUGAACAGCCUACAAACUAUUUUUGUUGUGCAUCUCCACUGUUUUGGGCUUCCAAUCUUUUCUUGAGUAUUUUUUUACUUUCAAUUACCCCCUCUUAUAGUUUCAUCAUUAAAAAGUAUUGUUUUUUACUUUCAAUUACUCCCUCUUAUAAUUUCAUCGUGUUACACAAUGUUGAUGUCGAUAUAGAUAUACACCCAGACCAUCUAAAUGCGAGUUCUUAUCAAAGCAAACUUAGGUUCCUUUUUUUGAUACAAAGUCGUCUGGUUUCUCUUAAACCUAUCUAGUAUUUUGUUUCCUACUAAUGUCAAUACCGACCUGCAAGCCUCUCCUACCUCACUCUUUUCGGGAUCACUAUUUCACAUACUUUAAACCACAUAUGAAAUUAUGUUAUACAUUAGGCACACUAUUUGACGAUUCUUAUCCACUUACUUACAGGAUGUUGACUAGCUUUCAGACCACCUUGACAAAAAAAUCUGGCAUCCCCACCUAAGAAGUAUGUUUAAAAAAAAGAGGAGAGCAAAUGCAACCCGAGCAACAAGUUGCUUCCUUUUUUACACUAUGUACCAUAGUCCUUUCUAAGUUCUAACAUUGCAGAACACAUACAUGAUCAAAACUAGCAGGCUUCAAAAACAUCAAAAAGAUUUUACAGGCCCUGAAAGCGAUGUCCGGUAGAUCAACGUCAUUCUCAUCAAGGCGCGACAUAAUUUUACACCUCUUCUCUACACACAACUUCUAAUCAAUAUAAUUUGUGCAUUGUUCUUCACUCUCCUUUAUAACCUUUGCGCAAAAAUAGAAUAGCUCACAAACUCUUCAACGACAACUGAUCUGUCCUUUUUUCUGUACAGAUAAUUGCUUUGCGUAUCUACAACGACCAUCACUACUUUUGAAGCGCAAACGCUUUUAUGUACAUAUAACCAAACCGAUGAAACUUCUCUAGCUUAGUAUUUGUUUAUGCGAUCCUCAGCUCUGCUUUCUGUACCUAUGACGAUCAUCGUCACUUUUGCAAAGCAAAUGCUUUUGUGUACAUAUUACCAAGUUGAUGAAACCUUGCCAGUUUAGCGUCUGUUUAUUAUGAUCUUUAGCUCUUGGAACACACUGCUGAAAUACAAUGUAAUAUGUAUAGUCCUCUCAGUCUACUCUAGACUUGCUGUAACCGCUAUAAUUAUUAUCUUAGUACAACAAUUUAUGUAAGCACUGGGACCAGUUUAAAUUUGCUCUUAAACUGAUGACAGCAUGUGCUAUAUAACAAGUUCUGAGUGUACAUUAUCCCAAUGAAAUUGUGUCAUUAUCCUAACAAAAUUGAUCAUAAAAAUAGUUCAUAUUGCUGCAGGUACGCGCGCAUGGGCGCGCACGAUACACUAGUUGAUUAUACUUAAAAAUGUACAUCCCAAAUGUCGCUUAGUCCAAACCGUGUAUAUUUCACCCAAACCAACUCGAGUUUGUAUGUGUAUUUGCCUACUCGAGUUUGUAUGUGUAUUUGCCUUCGUAUUUUCGAGAAUGAAAUAAAAUUAAGUGGGAAAAUCCCAUUUUUCUUUAUCCUCCACCGCCGUAUUUUCUUUUUGCUCCCCGAAGCUGCAACCAUCGUUUCCUCCUCUCCUGAAGCACGACAGCCAGUCCAGCCACCAUUUGGGUGCUCAUCUCCCUCUGCUCGGCACCUAGCCCCAGCUCGCCCGAGCUCCCUGCGCCGACCUCAUCUUCCCCAUGGCGCGUCACCUUCUAGUCCUCUCCUUCCCACGGCACAGCAGCGCCCCUGCAGCUCCCCUUCUCCAGAUCCAUGGCACCCAACACCUUGAGCGCCCCUGCCGCUGCUCCUCCACCGGGAUCUCCUCCUCCACUAGGCGUCCAGGCUUGUCCCACCGUGGCUGCCCCUCCUCCAUCUCCUCCCUCCCCACCAGGUUACCCAGAUUCCAUGGCCGCCGCCGCCCCAGCCAUCUCCCUGGUGGCCGACCUCGCCCCUGCCCCAGCCACAGCUCCCCCUUCGGCCCUGCUGCUGCAAGCACUCAGCCUCUCCCAUGGCACACGGUACUCGUCCAGCCCCUUUCUACUGGUGGCUGAGCCAUCUCUCUGGUGCUCGAUGAAAUGACCAUGAGGAGUUUUGUGUUGUGUGCAGCCCCAUCUGCAACACCGUCGACCCCCGACGAGGUCCUUUCUCGCCUUGUCGUUUUAGUACUCGGCGUCGAUUAAGUAGAUGCUAACCGUGUGUAUAUUCGUGUGUUCUUGUGAGGAGAAAUCCCAUGAUUUGGGGGAAGACGAAGUCCAAGCACAACCCCCGCCAAUCGCUCGAUGAAAAAUCUAAACCAAAACCCUCAGCGUUUUCAAGGGUUCCGGAGGGAUUUUAUGUUGGUAAGGUAAUUUGUGUCCUAAUUAGUUCACUCAGUUAUUGAGUUGAAGAGAUUGUUAGUUGUAUGUGUCGAUGAUGCUAUUUUGAUUAGCAGGUGUUGUGCGGUGUGAUCUCCAAUUCCCUAUUGCUGUUUUCUUACUCCAUCAUGACCUUAGGGAAGGAUGUUUUCCUCUAAAUUACUCGUAAUAAUUAUGCUUGGUGUAUGUGUUGUUUUAGCUACUUGAUGAAAUGUUUUAGUUGUGUGCGAUAAUAUGGUUGCCGUUCGAGUGGAAAGUAGAUGUGUUGUAUGACCUGAGUUGGAGUUGAGGCAAGUAUGUGUGUCUCGUAUUACGAAACUAAUUAGAGAUAUGCAUGAUGUUUGUAGAUGGAUUAUGUGUAGAGUGUUUUAGUACAAGUAUUUUUUUUAGGUAUAGUUGAACCAGUUAUUGUAUAUGAAUUGUGCGAUAUCAAGGUAGUUCUAAUGUUCUUUUAACAUCUUGCUAAUAAGGUGUUAGAGUAUUCUAAAUGCCAAACAUAGGAUAAUUUUACAAGCCAAAUAGAAGUUAAAUUGAAGGUAUUGCUGUUUAGGGCUGUAGGUAUAGUUUUAGUUAUGCAGCUAGUCCAAUAAAGUAGAUCAUGUUUUCUGUAGAAGCGUUAUAUAUAAAACUUGUAGAUAAUCUUUUUAUCUUACUUGUGUAAAAAUUUCAUGACCAUAGGUGUAGUAGUUUAGGAGUUAUGAUUUUUCCAAGUCCAGUCUCAGAAUCUGUCCAAAUUCUGUACAGGUUUCGAAAAUUGGAUUGCUUGGCUAAGCUAAACUGAGAAUCAGCCCUUAGUAAUUAUAGAAGAAUUUUAGUACUUUUCUUAAGCUUUCCAACAAAUUUUGGAGCACCCUUUUUGGUGGUCUAGAUAUCAAGUUACAGCUGUUUGAACUAUAGAGUCUGAAUUUGUCCAAAUUUGGACAGCGAAGUCUGUUUGUAGUAACUGACUUUGAUAUGUAUUGAAUUAACCUGAGAUGUUUAUAAAUGAAUUGUAGACAAUUCUAUUAACUUUCUAAAAAGUCUAGGAUCACCUGAUUUGGAUUUCGGAAACUCCAGUUCUGGACUUUUGAAGUAAGUAGUCGAAUUCUGUCCAAAUCUGGACAUAAUUUAUGUUUAGCGCUGUUUGACCUUUGUAAAGGUCGAAUUUUGUUGUGAUGGUAAUACAAAAGUUAUAGAGGACUUUAUAAGCUUUCCAAAAAGUUCUAGUUUACUAUUAUUGGAUACAUAUUUUAUGAAUUGUGAGCUAAACAGAUAGUUGCUGACUUGCUGUUCUGCUGUCCAAACACAUGUCUACUGUCUGAAAAUAGCUCAUUUUGUAGUUACAUUUGCAUUAGGCUUUGAUGAUUGCUGUACAAGGAUGAUAUGGCCUCCCGCCCAAAGCUGUCUGGUAUUCAGAAGCAGGUUUUGGCGCUGUAUAGGGGAUUCCUUCGGACAGCACGCCUUAAGGCCCCUGAAGAACGCCGCAGGAUCGAGUCUGUUAUCUUGGCAGAGUUCCGUGACAACGCAAGGAGUGUUGACCUUAGGAACUUUGUACACAUAGAGUACUUGUUGAGGAGAGGGAAGAAGCAUCUUGAGCAGCUCAAGAAUCCUGAUAUUACUGGACUCGCUACCCUUGUAGUAAAGAAAUGAGGUACGUAGUUUUCAAAAACACUUAUUUGACUGUGCAUGGUCUUCGAAACAAGUUUUAGUUUUUAAGUUUGACCAAAUCUUGUCAUAAACAUCAAGUUUUUUUUUUAAACAACGGAAGUCGAUUAGUAUUUAAAAUCAGCAAGUAUCAUCCAUUAGUAUUUUAGGUCUUUAGAUUUAAAAAUUGUGGACUUGUCAAAACUCUAUGUUAUUUGAUAAGGCUCUACUUGUUAAAUUAAGUGGUGUGGUGCUUGAUUUAGUCGAUGUGCUAUGCCCGAUAAUCUAGAUUAGUAACUCUAAAAUCUAGUUAAAGUAUUUCUAUUCGUCACUUUAAGUUAUAGGUAUCCAUGGUUGUUGUGUCUAAGUAUCCGAUUUCUGAGCUCUGCCCCUGCUGUUUAGGAUAGCAUAUGGAGUUCUUUAUGUUCCACAAGCACAAUUGAUCUUAUGGAAUGGAAAUAGUAGAACAUUACCUGGUGAGAGCACACAAAUACCUUAUACAAAGCAGGUAUUGAGUCAAAUUGUUGUGUACCCAUUUGUGGUCUGGAUACACUGGUUUGGUGAAAAUGAAAUAUGCCCAAAGCAACAAAACCCAGUUCACAUGAACUGCUAUCCUGUAUUUACGAAUCUUGACUAGUCUAGUAAUAUAUGUAUGUGGAAAUAUGAAGGUUUCUUUAUUUCUCUUCUUAAACAGCAAGAGAAGAAGGAAGACUAGUCAGACAAAAUAGAAGACGAGAAGAACUGAUGUAGCCAUGUUCAUGCUUCCAUGUAAUAGUUCAUUAUUCCAUACAUAUUUCUGUCUAUCCAGAAUCUACUAUUGAAAUACAUAUCUAGCAUAGCUUGCUCAGCUCCUAUAUGUUGUUUCAACGUUGAUUUAAAAGAAGAGCUGGUAGUUGUGGGCUUUUGAACAAUAGCUGGAGUGAUAUGAAAUAUUAGUGAUGUAGUUGUGGGCUUUUAAACUGCUUCAAGCUGGAGUGAUGUCGCUGUGGUGCUUUUGUGACUGAUCAUCUCUAGAGCUUUUGUGAAUGAUCUAGCUAGCUAUCUGUAAAUGAUCUAGUUGUGAAUGAUAUUAUAAUUGUGAUGCUUUUGUGAAUAUAUAAUUGUGGUGCUUUUGUGUUUAUGUGAUGGAUCUAUGACUGUGGUAUACUGAUUAACUGUGUAUGUCUUUAUGAUUUGUGUAUAAAAAUCUGUGAUUUGUGGUGCUUAAUUAAAUGUAUAUUUUUAUUAAUAACAACUGUAAAAGGGCGACUUUUUGUUGGUUGCUAAAUGUAUAGUAUGACGACUUACAGUUGGUUGCUAAAUCUAUACUACAGCAACCCACGGUUGGUCGCUAAAUAUACAAUAUUAGCAAUAGACGUCGGUCGCUAAAAAGAUGUCGGUCGCUAAAGCCUUUAGCGACGGCACUUACAGCGACCAUCCUUAUGGGUCGCUAAAAGUUUUUAGCGACCAACCGUAGGUCGCUGAAGGCCGUUUUAGCAACCAACCGUAGGUCGCUGUAAGUGAACCGUCGUGUAGUGGCUCUAGAGUGUACCUUUUUCUUCUUGCCGUCCUUAGCCAUGAGACACUUGUGGCCGAUGUUGGGGAAGAGGAGGCCCUUGUUGACGGCAAUGUUGGCGGCGUCCUCGUUGGAGGAGGAGUCGGUGGAGCUCUCGUCGGAGUCCUAUUCCCGACAUAUGUGUGCAUCGCUGCCCUUCUUCUUGUAGUAUCUCUUCUUCUCCUUCUUCUUCCCCUUCUUGUCUUCGUCCCUGUCACUUUCACUAGAAAUUGGACAUUUAGCUAUGAAAUGAUCGGACUUACCACAACGGUAACACACCCUCUUGCAGCGGGACUUGUAGUCUUUCCCCCCUCCUUUGUUUGAGGAUUUGACGGAAGCUCUUGAUGAUGAGUACCAUCUCCUCAUUGUCGAGCUUGGAGGCGCCGAUUGAAAGUCUACUUGGUGUAGACUCCUCCUUCUUUUCUUCUGUCGCUUUGAAUGCGACGGGUUGCACCUCGGGUGUAGAGGUGGCACCUUGCUCCAAGUUGACAAUGUGUUUGGAGUCUUUGAUCAUUAGUUCAAAACUCACAAACUUGCCAAUAACCUCCUCGGGAGACAUUAGUUUAUAUCUAGGAUCCCCACGUAUUAAUUGAACUUGAGUAGGAUUGUGAAAUACGAGGGAUAUAAGAAUAACCUUGACCAUCUCAUGGUCAUCACAUUUGGUGCUCCCGAGGUUGCACACUUGGUUCACCAUGGUCUUGAGCCGAUUGUACAUCGCUUGCGGCUCUUCUCCUUUGUUGAGGACGAAUCGACCGAGUUCUCCUUCGAUCAUCUCGCGCUUGGUGAUCUUGGUCACCUCGCCCCCUUCAUGCGCGGUUUUGAGGAUGUCCCAAAUUUCUUUGGCACUCUUUAACCCUUGCACCUUAUUAUACUCCUCUCGACACAAGGAGGCGAUGAGUAUAGACGUGGCUUGGGAGUUAAAGUGCCUAAUUUGGGCGGCCUCGUCCGAGUCGUAGUACUUGUCCCCCACCUUUGGUACAUGCGCUCCAAACUCAACAAUAUCCCAAAUGCUUUCAUGGAGUGAGGUUAGAUGGUGCCUCACUUUAUUACUCCACAUACAAUAAUCUUCACCAUCAAAAUAUGAUGGUUUGCCUAGGGGUACAUAAAGUAAUGGAGCACGCUUUGAAAUACGAGGAUAACAUAGGGGCAUCUUUCUAUACUUCUUGCGCUCAUGGUGCUUAGAAGUAAUGGACAAUUCGGAGCUUGAUGUGGAGGGUGACGAAGAGUCGGUCUCGUAGUAGACCACCUUCUUCAUCAUCUUCUUCUUGUCACCUCUCCGAUGCGACUUGAUGGAGGAAGAGGAUUCCUCCUUGUGUUUGUUGCCGGACUCCCUUGAGAGAGUCCUCCCCAAGCUUGCGGCCUUUUUCGCUGGUCAUGAUCUCCCUCUUGGCGUGAUCUUCAGACAUCACUUCGAGUUGGUUAGACUCUUAAUGAAGCACUGGCUCCGAUACCAAUUGAAAAGUCGCCUAGAGGGGGGUUGAAUAGGCGAAACCUGAAAUUUAUAAACUUAAACACACACUAAGGUCGGGGGUUAGCGUUAGAAUUAAAUUCAAGUCCAAAAGAAUAUCUCUCUUGCUAGGAGUUGCUCAAGGAUUGCGGAUGACGUAUGGGAGCCAACUCAAAUUCACACUAGCAAGGAAAUGUUAGAGAGACGAAAACAAAUCAAACAAGAAUCAAGGCGAGUGAACACGAUGAUUUGUUUUACCGAGGUUCGGUUCCAAAGAACCUAGUCCCCAUUGAGGAGGUCACAAAGACCGGGUCUAUUUCAACCCUUUCCCUCUCUCAAACGGUCACUUAGACCGAGUGAGCCUUUUCCUUAAUCUCUCAGGUCACUUAAACCCCGCAAGGACCACCACACACUUUGGUGUCUCUUGCUUCGAUUACAAGUCACUUAAGAAAUAGACGGGAAAAGAAAAAUGCCAAACCAAGCAACAAGAGCAACAAAGAACACAUGAUAUCCUCUCACAAGCCCUAAUGCACUAGAAUUGAUUUUGGGGCUUUGAGUGGAUUGAUUGCUUUGAUUGUGUCUUGGAGUGUUGGGCUUUGCUCUUGCAAUGAAUGAGAGUUCAGAAAUGCUUGGAUGGUUAUGAAUGAGGUGGUUGGGGGGGGUAUUUAUAGCCCCCAACCACUUCCAUAGCUGUUGGUGAAGGCUGCUGGCGAUGGGCGCACCGGACAGUCCGGUGCGCCACCGGACAACCAUUGUGCAUUAUCCGGUGCGUGCCACGUCAGUGCAACCGUUAGGGUUCGAAGCUGGUCGACCGUUGGAGUCUUUGUUGUCUUGCUGCACCGGACAGUCCAGUGCCACAUCGGACAGUCUGGUGCUCUCUGACUUCUGCGCUCUGACUUCUGACAUCCACUGUUCAUCGCGACAGAGUCGACCGUUGGCGCAGAGAGUCAUUGCUCCGCUGGUACACCGGACAGUCCGGUGAAUUAUAGCGGAGCGCGCCCUGGAAUUCCUGAGAGUGGCUGGUUCAUCUGCUGUAUGGCCUGGUGCACCGGACACUGUCCGGUGCGCCAUUUUUCAGCACACUCAAGUCCUUUUGCUCCAAUAAAUUGUGUCCCUAACUUAAUUUCUUUCUUGGUUUGUGUUGAACCUUAUGCACCUGUAAUACAUGAAUUCUUGACAAACUAGUUAGUCCAUGUGUUUGUGUUGUUCGUCAACCACCAAAAUUAAUUAUAGGAAAUGGUUAACCCUAUUUCCCUUUCACAACUCAACUGUCAGAUGAGUACUCCAUUACAGCACUUACGUACACGAGUUCUAUGAGAGCAGACCUCCAAAAUGAAUAUCUGCUAAGUGUUUAUCUACUUAGAUGAAGGACGACAAUCACUUUCUUGGGAAAUAUUAGCGACACAACUCCUUACAUCCUCCGCUUCUUCCUAGUGUUUUUUGUUGUGAUUGAGUCGACACAGCAACAACACUGCACUAUUACAACCAGUACGACUAUAUCAACUAGCAAUGUCUUCCUUAUAUGUUACUAUUUAUUUUGCUAAUAUUCAUUAUGUUUAAAUCACAUGUGCACCUUUCUAUUGACAUCAAAAAAUUAGUGGGGAUCGAGUGAUUCUUUAAACCGAUUAUUACACAAGUUAACCACACUAAAAUUAACAUUGGUGAAUCGUGCCAUGAUUUUUUUCUAGUGCAAAAUAGCCAAACCAAGCAAAACAUAUGUGGCUAUCGUUACACAUGUGUAAAGGUAUUGCAUCACACCAUUGUCACCCAUGUAUUUGGACAAUACCGAGAGGAAAAACCACUUAUUUAUUGUAUUUUAUCAAGUUUAUCUUGCUUACGUAUAAAUUAUAACCCAACAAAGUAAUCACUAAAUGUCAAAACCAACUAGAUACCAUGUCAUCUCUACCUUAUCUUACUAAUAUUCUUUUUGCAAAAUCGAAAAUUAAUCUUGCACAAGCACAAGGACUGAGAUGUGUAUAAAUAUCUCUUAGAUUAGUAGAUAAUAUAUCGCACAUAUUAUUGAGACCAACUAGCAACAUAGAAAGCACAAUAUUGUACCAAUAAUGGCAGCCAAAAUAUUUUGCCUCAUUAUGCUCCUUGGUCUUUCUGCAAGUGCUGCUACGGCGAGCAUUUUCCCGCAAUGCUCACAAGCUCCUAUAGCUUCCCUUCUUCCCCCAUACCUCUCACCAGCGAUGUCUUCAGUAUGUGAAAAUCCAAUUCUUCUACCCUACAGGAUCCAACAGGCAAUCGCAGCAGGCAUCUUACCUUUAUCACCCUUGUUCCUCCAACAAUCAUCAGCCCUAUUACAGCAGUUACCUUUGGUGCAUUUAUUGGCACAAAACAUCAGGGCACAACAACUACAACAACUCGUGCUAGCAAACCUUGCUGCCUACUCUCAGCAACAGCAGUUACCUUUGGUGCAUUUGUUGGCACAAAACAUCAGGGCACAACAACUACAACAACUCGUGCUAGCAAACCUUGCUGCCUACUCUCAGCAACAACAGUUUCUGCCAUUCAACCAACUAGCUGCAUUGAACUCUGCUGCUUAUUUGCAGCAACAACAACUACUACCAUUCAGCCAGCUAGCUGCUGCCUACCCCCGGCAAUUUCUUCCAUUCAACCAACUGGCAGCAUUGAACUCUCAUGCUUAUGUACAACAACAACAACUACUACCAUUCAGCCAGCUAGCUGCUGUGAGCCCUGCUGCCUUCUUGACACAGCAACAUUUGUUGCCGUUCUACCUGCACACUGCGCCUAACGUUGGCACCCUCUUACAACUGCAACAAUUGCUGCCAUUCGACCAACUUGCUUUGACAAACCCAGCAGUGUUCUACCAACAACCCAUCAUUGGUGGUGCCCUCUUUUAGAUUGCUUAUGAGUUAUAGUUCAAUAAUAAAGUUUUUUUUGCUGAUAUUUGUGGCUUCCCAGAAAUAAGAAAGUACAUUUCUAGAUUCUUAUGUGCUUCUAGUCUCCAAAUGUGGUUGAUAGUUAUUUUGCUCUAAGAUCGGCAGUAAUGAGGUAUAAAUACUUGUUGUCGUGUGCUACUCGGUUAAUUGAGCAUUAACACACAUAAACAUUACAAGGAUGGUAUAAUCUCCUAAAAUGUGUACAUUGUUAGGUGUAACCCUAUAGCCAUGCAGAAUGUGCUAUGUUAGGCAUGCCGAUGGAAACGUGUGACACAUACGUUUUGUUAACCUAUUGAUAUUAUAUGUGCCUUUUAUAUUACCAUAUUUUAUUAAAAUACUAAUAUUUAUUACUAGUAAGAUAUAACAUUCUAUCUAGCUUAAAAACUAACCAUAAAUAUUCCAUCAUAACUAGAUUUACCAAACUAAUAUACUAAAUAUACAUAAUAAAUACAAAAUUAACAAUACAAUAUCAAUAUUUAUGAGCUUAAUAAAUUUAAACAUUAUGGUUGGCCGACGAUAAUCAUACUGACUUUCCGUAAUUGCUUGAUUGUAAAUAUACUUAGACUAAUGCCUCUUUGUUCUACAUGGCAAAUAGGGACCACUCUAGGAGACUAGGAUGUUGCUUGAGACGAAGAUGUUAUCAUUGGUGUAGACUAAUUUCUAUCAGCCGCUGACUUCACUAUUGUAACCAUUAUCUCUUGGGUAAAUCAUAUACGAUUAUCUAGCCAAAGGCCCAGAUGAUAAAAACAAUUUUUAAUUGCUAUUUCAGGACAAAUGAAUUAGCAUGGUUCGAAGGAUUGCGACCUUCCCCCCAUGACUUUUAUCGUAUUGUGUUAGUCUAAUCGACAAAACCAAGAUUAGAUAUCAUCGAAGAAGUUGAUAAGCGAAUCUGUGACCACUAUCAGAAUCAGCUGCUUUGCCGAGUGUCUAAAACACUCGACAAAGCCUGAAAAACACUCGGCAAAGGAUUUGCCGAGUGUAACACUCAGCAAAGAAAGCUCGGCGAAGUAUACAUCGGCAACGACUUCUUUGCCGAGUACUUUUUAUCGGGCACUUGGCAAAGAAGCGUCAUUGUCACGACGAUAGGUAAUGCCGACGGAGUCUGUGACGAGUGUCACAGAGUGACGCUCAGCAAAGGCUCACUCUUUGCUGAGUGACCACUGUACAGACACUCGGCAAAGAAGCCCCCGUGGGUCCCUUUAUCAGGGCCUUUGCCGAGCGUAUUAGGUGGCACUCGGCAAAGGCUCCAUCUUUGGUGACUGCCCGCCAGACUAGCAAUCGACAAAGGGAUCAACAGCGGAUCCCUUUGUCAGUUCUUUUGUCGAGUGCUCUAGGAGGCACUCAAUAAAGCUUGUGUUGGGGGCCUUCUUCUUCCGAAGGUCCUCAAAAACGUGACUAACCAUAGGUUUUCAGUAUGACAUAGACUAUUAUAGGAAGCUUUGGCUUUGGGAUGAAGGCGUGUGAUAUGAGGAUACAGCCCAAAGGCAACAUGGAUGGACGUCGAAGCUAUGGCUAAAGGAGUUUCGGCUUGGCAUGUUAGCGAAGAUGAAGGACGAAACCGACCUAAGGGAGAAAAGACUAGUUAGUCCUUGAUAGUUUGCAUUAUGAUUAAGAGCAGAUAUCAGGGGCAUGCAUGUAAUCUUAUCCGGGCUGCGUCCCGUGCCUAUGAAUAGAUGAAUAGUAACACCGUACUGUUCACGCUGGAUUAUAAUCGCUCCUACGUCACUCUCGCGUCUUCACCUUUUGGUAAGCUGAAGGUAUCAAUGUAAUACAAAUAUUGAUGAUGUUUAUUCAUGUUUAUGAAAUGAGAAUAUAAAUAGCUUGCUGAUUCGUAAUCAUUAUUUAUAUUCUUUUGUAUUUCAUGUACCCUUAUUUAGAUGUGUUCACUGAGAUGAUGAAGGUAUGCCCUUCAUGACCUUCGUUCGGAAACCAUUAUAUCCAAAAGGAGAUAAUGCUUCGAAGGACGAAGGUCUCUAAUUAUUGACAAUCAUGUUGUCUUGUUCUUGAUGUAUAGCAUUUGGGAACAAGGACCAACAUUGGCGCCCACCUCCCGUGAACUCAAUCGACCACCUUCGGCAAGCAUCGACUUUCGUAAUGCCGCCGAAGAAGACAAUAGUGCCAGGGGCUGCCCUGCAGCCACUGGACACUAAUCAGGAAACGCUGCGAGAAGCUAGGAUCUAGAAGAGGAAGGCUACUAGCCCAACACCUCAGGAGGAGGAGCUAGAUCAGGAGAUCAGAGAUUUGGAGGCUAUCACCAGCAGGUACAAAGAAAAAGGGAAAAGAUGCUUCAGCUCGUCGAACUUCAGAGAAAGAUCGACAAAGCUGCUGAAGAAAUGCGUCACCUUACCCAGGAUGACCAAGACCGAAGGCCCCAACAUAGGGAGCUUCAUCAAGAAAGCCCAAUUAAUGACGAUGAGUGGUAUGGUGACUUUCAUCGUGGCAAUUUUGCUUUUGAUGAUGCUUCUCCCUUGGCAGCAGAAUUGCAGGCUACCCCGUGGCCGCCAUCAUACAAGCCACCUCAGCUCCCCAUGUAUGACGAGCACUCAGACCCGAAGCAACCAUAUCCUCAUAUGGGGGCAAUACUGCGGUCAUGGCAAAGUCCUUCGUCAUGGCAGUUAGAAGCGUGGCUCAAACAUGGUGCUCUUCUCUUCGGCCAGGGACAAUUACGUCGUGGCAAAAGCUAAAAUACAUACUGGUCACUAGCUUCUAGGGUUUCCAAUCGAAACCAGUUACUGUCCAAACUCUGUUCCAGUGCACACAGGACCAAGAAGAAUACCUCCAAGCGUAUGUCCGAAGGUUCCUGCGAUUGAGAGUUCAGGCGCCUACAGUGCCCAAUGAGAUUGUCAUUGAGGCCAUGAUCAAGGGGUUCAGACCAGGACCAACGGCGCAAUACUUUGCAAGGAAGCCACCACAAACCCUAGAGAAGCCGACGAUGAUUUUCGGCAAAGAAGGCAAGAAGCCUACAGAUACUCUGAGAUGGCCAGGGGCUUCGGAGGAAGAUUUCACCCUAGGCAUGUCAGGUCAAUCCAUAAUACCAGCUCAAGUGACGACAAGGGAAACCAUACCCAAAGGCAGCAACACAGCUCUCAGUCGUCAGGAGCACAACAAAGCUCUUUGAGGCCACCGGCUCCAAGAGGUAGAGGGGGGAGAAGCUUCGGAGGAAGAUAUGGAGAUCAGCCCAGUAAACAGUUUUGUUUGUUCUGCGGUGAAGAUAAGGGGCAUACCACAAGAACGUGCCAAGUUAUGAUUCAGAAGCAGAAAGAAAUUGCUGAAGCUGAAGCACGUUCGAAUCAGCCGAAGCAGGUUCUGCAUACUGCUUCGUGCUACUCUCCCUACGUCCCGGAGUAUGUAGACAAUCAACAGCCUACGACCUUGGUCGCUUCGGCAAGCCAUUCUCAAGCUUCCUGGGCCCAGUUGCCACCACCACCACCGCUAGCACAUGCUCUGGUCCGCAAUCAAUAGCCAGAAGGGCACCACCAUGCUUAGUAAUAGCGCGACCUUCGGGAGGAGUCCGAAGCUCGCACAGUCAACAACAUUGUGCCUAAGUCGAAGCACAUCUAUUAAAGGUGCCACGGUGAUUCAAUUAAAGAAUAUCUUACCCUAAUGUAUCUUAGUUUUUCCGCCAUUUUAUUUUCUUGCAUGAAAAACAAUUCACGAAGGAUUAAUUUCCAAUUUGAUGUAAUAAUACCGUGGUCGCACCAUCGAGUGUGGAGCGCAUCGCCUUAACAAUACUUCCGAAGCUACAAAGACGUUCCUAAGGGAGCGCGGAGUAAGUUCUGAAGCUACAAAGUUGUUCAUAAGGGAGCGCAGAGUAAGUUCCGAAGCUCAAAAGUCGUUCUUAAGUGAAUGCAGAGCCAAGAUGCCACCAAAAUAAAAGGUGAAGAAGCUCAAAAGUCAUUCCUAAGGGGAUGCAGAGCUUAAAUGCCACCGAAAUAGAAGGUGAAGAAGUUCCAAAGUCGUUCCUAAGGGGAUGCAGAGCUUAGCUCCAAAGAUGUUCCUAAGGGGAUGCAGAGCUGAAAUAUAACCUAAGUAAAAAGUGAAGAGACUCAAAAGUCGUUCCUAAGGGGAUGCAGAGUCUGGAUGCAUUUUCGAGUGGGUGUGUUUCUUCGGCAUAAACAUCAUGCUGUAUCAUAUCAUCACAUCAUUUCUCAUAGCAUUACAUCAUACAUCACAUCACAUCAGCAACAGAACUGUGGAGAAGCAAAGAUGCUUCUUUCAAAAUAUUUGAUGAAUGGAACAAUGGGCUGAAGCAGAAAGUGUACCUUCAACAGCUAUAAUUUUACAUACCAAGAAAAAUCUUCGUCGACAAACAAUAUUAUAUAACAGCUACGACAUAAGAAGGGGUGAUUUUUUAUUUGUGAAGCAUGAAAAGAAGGGAAGGUGUUUUUUCACCAAAGGCUAAAAAACAGGUAAGUACAUACAUUUCAUGCAUCACAAAGAAAUAUAUUACAUUAAUAUACAAACAAAUGUUCGAUGUUCGACUCAUACACGAAUAUUACAUUUCUUAGUACACAAGAAUUUAGUCUUCUUUCAAUAUUUUCUCGGUAGCUUCAUGUAGGAGUUUGUUGACAGCUUCAUCAACGGCUUCUUCGGCAAUCCUUAUCGUUUCUAAUGCCCCCCUCAUGGCCGGAUCGGCCUCGGGAUCAUAUGGCUCAGGCGGUGGUGAAAAAUCAGCUGUAAUAAAGAACAAGUUGUUAAUAUCAAAGCCAGAAACAAAUACUGAAGCUAAAAUUCAGUAAUAAUACCUAUACGCCUUGCGCGCUCAGCAACCUCUUGGCUCGCUUAGCUUAUUCUCGAGCAUCAUGGGAUUCUUUUUCAUUUGUCUUUAUAGCUUCAUCGGCUAUCUCACGGCCACCUUUCAUCCAAACAUUGGAAUAAAACUUCUCGCCCAUCAAAGUAGCUUCGGCCGAAGGCUCCUUCAUGUCGUCUAUGGAGAAGACGGCUUCCGCCUGGGCUGCAGUUUUAACAUGUUCACAGCCAGUUUUCUCCAAAACUGCUGCAACCCCUCGGGCACCGGCGAAGGCACAAAAAUCCUCGCGUUCGCUAAGUAUUUCCUCAAAAGCUUCAACUUCUUCGCAAAUCCAUUGAACGACUCCUUUUGGAUCGCCUCGAAUAAAUUUUUGCUCCGAUGAGUAUGCACCCACCUUUGCAAAACUGUCUUUCAGUUUCUUUGCAUAGUCCAUGGAUACUUCGUAGCAUUUCUCUCUGGAACCCCGAAGUUCUUCAACAUUCUUCUCAAGCCUGGAGCUUGUCCAUUCACUUAUAUCUUACUUUGCCUUAGCAAGUUCAAUAUUUUCGCUCAUUUCGGCAAGUUUUUUGUGAAGGUCUUCGACUUCGGCUUGGUGAGCUUCGGAUUGUGCAUUAAGUUUUGCUUCGUUGCUCUUCAGUUUAUCCACCAAGGAAAGCAGUAUUUUAUCUUUUUCAAGCGCCUCGUUCCUUAAUGUAAUAACUUAUGACCGAAGGUUCCCAAGGGCUAUUUGGCAGCUUUCAUCUUCUGCAUUCUUUUGUGCCCUUAAAGCCUUGCUUAGGAUUAAUGCCUACAAAAAAUGAAGGAUCAGCACACAACAAUAAGAAAAGAUACAAAAAGUAAUCUGCUUAUAAGCUAAAAUGUCCUCACCAUCAGACUGUUAUAAGCAAGGAUGUCUGCAAGGUCAUCUUUCGACAUUGCAGACAACCCAAGCUCUAGCUUCGGGAAACCUAUAUUUUUUGCCAUCUCCCGACAAACAAAUAUUUUCUUGUUGUCUGGAAGGCAAUACAAAAAAUCAUCUUCGUCAGUGCCAUUAAACAUGAGGGAUCCUGGGGGAUACUUCAGAUCCUUAGCAAAUUGCCUAGCUUCGGCAACCUGCUCCUCUGAUAGUUUUUCCCUACCGCGUGACACACUAUAAAUUCCGAUCCCUCAGUAGAAGCUUCAACGGCAAGGAAUUCAGAUUCUUUGCUGGUUCUCUCUUUUCCUAACGGUAACGGAGCUUUUUCAGCAUCCAAAGGUCCUUUUUCAGCAUCCUUUUCAAUAAGCUCUGCAGGCCCUAUUUCUGCGGGAACUGAGGGCCCAGCUUCAGCUUCAACCCAAGUUAUGAUAGCUUCGGCAGUUUCCUUUGUACUUUUCUUACCCAUGCUAGGUACUUCUGUAGAGGCAGGAGUUAGUACUUUUGUCGAUUCCAUGACAGCAUCCAGUACACUAGCCAUUCUCCUCCUUUUUGGAGUUAUCAAAGUAGUUUUUUGAAUCUUCGGCAAUUCUGCCUCUGGCCGUGAAAAAGUUUUUGGCUGCUCCGCUGCUAUCUUCAGAAUUGGCUCUUCGGCUGAUCCCAAUAUGGCUUCGGCAGUAGCGAGAUGAUUUUGCUCAGCUGCAGAAGAAGACCCUUCAACAGGCUUUGACACUUUGGCCGUCUCAGAGUGCCUGGGCCGGUGUGUCAAGACUUUGCCAUUUUUCCCUUCGGCGUGGCAGAGAUUGCCGAAGCAGUAGCCUUCCUUUUCUUUCCCUGCUUUCGCGAGGGAUAACAAUAGUCUGGGUACACAAAACCAAUUACAUCAAAAACCCUAUUUAAUCUCUUCUUGCCUCGUCCUCCGAAGGCCAAUGUCAUGGCAUCGUCUUCGGCCCUUGUGUAGGCCCCAAGCAAUUCGUCACUAGUAGCCUCAAUGCAAUCCAACCAGUCAUCGUUCGGCUCAUCGAACUGAUCUCUGUAUCUGAAGGUGUAUUUCAGAUAAACUAAACUAACUUGACUGGACCCGGCCGCAGCUUCCUUCGACAUCUCCCAGCCACUUCCAAGAGGCCACACUCUGUAAGCAAUAUGCUCCUAGACUAAGUCCCUAGUGCCAAUAUAAGUACAUAAAGUGUUAAAGUCCGUAUGGCAUGCUUGAAUAUCAUGUCCAUGGACAGUGGUUGGCCUCCUAAUGCCGAAGCGAGACCAGAUAGGGCAUUGAAUGAUCCCCUUUAUAUCUUCUCUUUCAACUAAGUUGUUCUUCACAUAAAACCACUCUUGCAUCCAGGCUCCUGGCCACCUCUUCCAAAAUGUUGGGACGGGAUAGCUCACACCAGAGCGAGGCAUGAAGCCGUAACAACGAAAAUUAUUAUGAUAUUGUUCUAUGCCAGUAGCCUUUGUCUCAUAGGACAGGUCAUGCAUGUUGCAGAAGCAUUUUGCAUUCGGCUCUAAACCCUGGCCCAAAUGAAAACUCCCAUUCUGAUGAUAUCUUCGGGGGUAAUUUGAUGAAGGUAAAUUUCAAAAGUCUUCAAAACUUCAACUAAAAAUUUGUUCAGGGAGAAUCGAAGCCCUGCUUUCAUAGAACUCCUGUAGACAACAACUUCGUCUGCUUCGGGCAUAGGGGCACUGCUAUCUCCUCUGGCCCUCAUGAUAGAAAUAUCGCGGAAGUAUCUUCCUUUCAUUGCAUCAAUCUGACUCUGUUUGAUGGUUGAUUUAGCAAAGAUGGUAUGACUCGGUCGCCAGGGCUGAUCUUCGACAUCUUCGUUUCCACUUUCUAAGUCAAAACUUUCACUAUCGCUGGAAUCUUCAGACAACCCAACCAACAUCUCAUUGGUGAUCUUCUUCAUAUUUGUCUUCUCCAUAGCUUCAUAAAACCCGGCCAAUGCAGGGUCAGCAAUCUUCUUCUCUUUAGCCAUUUAGACAACGAUUGCACGAUUGUCGAAGCUUAAAACUCAAUCAAAACUCGACAGAGCAAGAGAAUUCAGAAUGUCUAAAAUAGCGCAAGCAACUGAAAUAGCACAGCAAAUGCUGCCAAUGCGAGUUUCUAUUUAUAUGCCUCACGAUUUGGUGGGCCAUACAUGUCAGUGGCUUUCGCUAUUCUAGCGAAGGGAAGGUGUUUUUUCGGAUCUUCGGUUAAAGGCCUUCGUUCACGUCACAGUCUAAAUUUGUUACAAAGAAACAAAUUAAUACUACGAGGGGCUACUGUUGGGGGCCUUCCUUUUCCGAAGGUCCUCAAAAACGUGGCUAACCAUAUGUUUUCAGUAUGACAUAGACUAUUAUAGGAAGCUUCGGCUUUGGGAUGAAGGCGUGUGAUAUGAGGAUACAACCCGAAUGCAACAUGGAUGGACGUCGAAGCUAUGGCUAAAGGAGCUUCAGCUUGGCAUGUUAGCGAAGAUGAAGGACGAAACCGACCUAAGGGAGAAAAGACUACUUAGUCCUUGAUAGUUUGCAUUAUGAUUAAGAGUAGAUGUCAGGGGCAUGAAUGUAAUCUUAUCCGGGCUAUGUCCCGUGCCUAUAAAUAGAUGAGAAGUAACACCGUACUGUUCACGCUGGAUUGUAAUCGCUCCUACAUCACUCUCGCAUCUUCACCUUUUGGCAAGCCGAAGGUAUCAAUGUAAUACAAAUAUUGAUUAUGUUUAUUCAUGCUUAUGAAAUGAGAAUAUAAAUAGCUUGCUGAUUCAUAACCAUUAUUUAUAUUCUUUUGUAUUUCAUGUACCCUUAUUUAUAUGUGUUCACUGAGAUGAUGAAGGUAUGCCCUUCAUGACCUUCGUCCGGAAACCAUUAUAUCCAAAAGGAGAUAAUGCUUCGAAGGACGAAGGUCUCUAAUUAUUGACAAUCGUGUUGUCUUGUUCUUGAUGUAUAGCAUUUGGGAAUAAGGACCAAUAGCUUGCUUCUUUGCCGAGUGCCAAGGCCACAGCACUCGGCAAAGAGUCUUUACCGGUGCGCAGGUGUGCCUUCUUUGCCGAGUGCUAUGACAUUGACACUCGGCAAAGUAUCUCUUUGUCGAGUGUAACACUCGACAAAGUGACCAGAUUAUCCCUUUUUAUUUGUUUUUGCUAUUCCAUCCAAACAAAUAAAAGAUAUAUCGCAUAAUCAUCACAUAUACAUCAUAGAUAUCACAUAAUCAUCGCAUACAUAAUAGAGACUGCAUAUUUCACAAAAAACACAAAUCUCACAAGUUUUUCUCAAACAUGUCCAUGUUCAUACCAAGAUUCACUAACAUAAGUAUCACACAACUCUAAAACAUAAGUUUUUCACAAACAUAAGUUUAGGACAAGUUUAUCACACAAGCUAAGAGAAGAUCAUGAGCGAGGUGGGCGGCUGGACUGGUGCGGCGACGGGCUGGGCGAUCCACGAGGGUUGUUGGAUGCCGCCCUAGAUUGUCCCUGCACAGAGAAGAGAUUGCCUGUGUUAUACUAGAUAAAUAUACAUCAUGCAGGACUAGAAUUUUGAUACUCAUAGGAGUAUGGAACUGAGCAGGGUCAACUGGAGGGAACAACGGAGGUGGUGGAGCAAAACCCUGUGCGGUGCCAAGGCUCUGCAUGUACUGGAACAUCUCUGCCAUCCUCUGUUGAUUUUCCAUGUGGGCCUCCCGCUCCGCCAUCAUCCUCGCCUCCAUAUCCUACCGUUCCCUCCUCUCUUCUUCUAGCUAGGCAUAUAAUAUUUCAACCCAGUGUUAUAAUAACUCAAAGAGAAGGUAUAUAACUCAAGGAAAGACGAGUUACAGAAGCACUAACCUGGAGUUGUUGUAUCUCAUGAUGUGAGUUGUCCUGUCGAGGUCGUAUGGCUGGGCUUGAGCUCGUGGUCCUUGCUCGCACCUGAGACAGAGUGGGAGUGGACAACGAGUCGAUUGUCCCGUCGGCAAUCCAGUACCUCCCAUGCCUCUUGCCUCCUCUGACCCUCAUGAGAACAUCUCCGUCGAUUUCCUUGGUCCUCGGAUCGUAAUCUGGCCCAUGGACCUCAUGUGACAUGGCAGUGUACUCACUUAGGCGGUUGUAGACGGCGGAGUUGCUAUAUGCCUCGGGCCCGUCAUCCGGGUUGUAGGUGACAUCGGACGUCGCCUUUCCCUUGUGGGCCAUAGCAUAAACCGAGAAGAUGGAGCAUGGCUGGCCACCAUGUAACACCAAAUGCAAUAAAAUCAAUGAGAUAGUUAGAAAUAAUAUCUAAACCAGUGCUAUAUACCUAAAUAAAAAGAGGGCGUACCCAUGCUUCUACAUAUUUCCAGAGGUUGCGACUGCCUUGGUGGUGGGAGGGACCUUACAUCAUCAAAUGUCGUUCCAUGCUAGCGUUGUGCGCCUCGUCCCACUUAGGCGAGCACCACCUAUCCACCAUCUGCUCCUAGCACUGAGGAUGCGCGGCGCACCAAUAAGGAAUCAUCUACAAACUAAAACAAGUACAUUGCAUAUCAGAAGAUAAAAUUAAGCAAUUUUUUUCACGAAUAUUAAAGUGAUGUAUUUACCUGCAAGUAUUGGUCCCUAGUCAACGACAUGGUUCGGGCCUCUUGUUUGGUCACCUUCUCUCUAAGGACGGAGCCAUGGUAGAUGAUGAUGACCUAGAUUCGUGCAUCGUAGUGCAUGUCCACGACGAGCUUCUUACAGCUUGUGGUGGCCACCACAUUUGCCCUGGCCUCGUAUCCAGCCUCGCAUCUGAAGAAAUCCUACAUACAAAGGCGAUAUAUCCAUACAUUAUUUCAAGUAUGUGCAACAAAUGCGACAUAUUUUACAAUAUAGUAAGACUUACUCAUAGCUUUUGCUUCACCCGCUCUGCCAUGUUGUUAAAUUCCCUAUCGUCCUAGUCUACUGCAUCAGGGGUGACGACGUAGUGGUCGAAGGUGUAGGCAGUAGGUUGGGCCCACCACUCCAGCGUACUCAACCAGUCCAGGGAAGUGUUCCCUACACAUAAGGCCAAGGAUGCCAUUGGGUUGUGGUCGUGACUCCCUGCAUUCUCCACAACCUUUCAAGACCUGUCCAAGUGAUAAAUAAAAAGUAUUAGUUUAUAUUAUGAAUUUGAACACAUAAUAUGAACAAACAGUGAGAACAUAAAAUUACAUGUCUCUCCCCAUCCUUCUGAAUCAGCGACCGCCUAUCUCGAAGUAUGGGACGCUGAGGGAGACUCGUGGGACCUCGCUGGUAGACGUUCCUCGAAUCUGAAGCACCAGAACCUGAGGCGUCUUGCUGAGCGUCGUCGUCGUCCUACUGUGUCGCAUCGAUAACGACCUGCUGCUGGACGUCGUCAUCCUGUUGUGCCUUCUUCGCCUUCCUACGGGUGCUCCUCCUCCCCCUCCUUGUCCUCAUCCCACCGCCCACCAUAUUUGUCCAACAACCUGUAAUUAAGGGUAAGCAAAUAAGCACAUAUAAAAAAGUUUAUUUACAAAUAGGCGUGAAAUAAAAAAAAUAGCAUUACAUCGUUUAAAAAAAUCUUCAUAUGUGUCGGGGUUAGCCAGAUCAUAAGUGUCAUCAUCACAAUCAACCAUUUCAUAGUCAACACCAUCUGAAGGCGCAAGUUCUUCAUUAAUGUCAUUGCCUUCAAGUAAUUCUAAGUCAUUCUCAUUUUGCACCUCAUCAACAACCAUUUCAAUAUCUACUUCCAUUCCGAUAGCUUCGGUUAAGUCUAUCUCAAAUCACCCUUCUAGCCCAUAUUCUUGGAAGAACUCUCCAUCAUAUGUAUCCGGGUCUAAGUUAUAAUCUUCAUCAUUUGGAACAGGUAAUUUACCGUGCAGUGAUACCUUAUACACAACAUCCCAACCCAUCCAUGCCUCAUAUAGGAGAUGAAGAAUCAAAUGCUGCAUUGGAUUGAAGAAGUCGAGUGGAAAUAUCUUCUCAAGCUUACACAAAAACACGGGUGUCAAUCUUUCCAAGUCUGCAAUCACGGACCAAGAUAACUCUUUCACACAAAGCUGGCAGAAUAAAUAGCUGAACUUUGUAAGCGCUAGCCAUACAUGCUCAGGGACAUAGCCUCGAACCAUCGUCGGAAGAAUCUGUUCAAUCCAUAAGUGGAAGUCAUGACUCUUCAUCCCUAAGACUCACAGAGUAGAUAAGUUCACCCCCCUACUUAGGUUAGCUGCAUACCCAUCAGGAAACAUCAACAUCUUGAUCCACUAAAGUACUUCCUUCCUCUGGGCCCUACUUAGGACGAAAUCGGCCUUAGACCUUCUCCAUGUCUUUCCACCACUAGGCGGCUUCAUUUCUUGGUUUGGUCUAUCACAUAACGCUGUCAGAUCCACUCUUGUCUUUACAUUAUCCUUUGACUUAUCAGGAAUGUCCAUAAUUGUUGCCCAAAGUGCCUCGGCGACAUUCUUUUCAGUGUACAUCAAGUCAAUGUUGUGUGGAAGGAGUGGGUCAUCAUAAUAGGGGAGCCGAGUCAAGCCCGACUUAUGUGUCCACAUAUGCUGCUCACCAUAUCCCACAAAUACACCUUCUGGAUUGGCCACGAGCCCAUCUAUUUGUUGACGAAUUUCGGCACCAGUCAUCAUUGCAGGUGGUUGGUCUGUCACUACAACACCUUUCGUAAAGUUAUUGAUGUCUAGGCGGAAUGGAUGGUUAGGAGGGAGAAAUUGUUGAUGUUUAUCGAACAACGAAUAUUUGCCACCCUUUUUCAACCAAAUGAACUUAAGAGCUUCCUUACAAACUAGGCAUGGGAACUUACUGUGAACACAAUAGACACAGAAUAGCCCAUACGCCGGUAAGUCAUGCAUGGCGUACUAGUACCAAACAUGCAUUUUGAAGUUUUUCUUCGUAGCUCGGUUAUACGUCCAUACCCCUUCCUCCCAAGCAUGUACGAUUCAUCAAUCAAAGGCUCCAUGUACACGCCCAUUUUAUUCCCCGGGUGUCCGAGAAUUAUCAACGACACAAAUAUGUUCUGCCUUUAAAAGCAUACACCGGGGGGAGAUUGAUUGGGAUAACAAACACGGGCCAACAUGUGUAUGGGGCAGCGCUCAUUCCAUAGGGAUUGAACCCAUCUGUGGCCAGCGCAACACGUACAUUAUGAGCCUCUUCAGCUUUCUCGCGGUAAAUGGCAUCAAAGUGUUUCCAUGCUUCACCAUCGGAUGUGUGCACCAUCUUAUCAUGAUUGUAUCGUUUGCCAUUUUUGUGCCAUGUCAUCUGUUUCGCGGAUUCCUCAGUCAUGUAUAGACGCUGGAUCCUCGGUGUGAACGGAAGGUGGUGUAGGAUUGUCACGGGGAUGUCGAGCUGCCUAUCAUGUCCAUCACCAAAGUCUACCUCCAUGAACCUAGACGAUUUACACUUCGGACAGUACUUUGCUUCCGUGUAUUCUUUCCUAAAUAGCACGCAGUCCUUCGGACAAGCAUGUAUCUGCUCAUAUGUCAUCUUGAGUGCACGGAGGAGUUUCUGUGUGUUGGGGACCUUCGGCAUCCGAAGGUCCUCAAAAACGGGAUUUAACAGUAUUUCUGGAAGUAUAAUGUGUGAGCAGGUACCUUCAGACUCAAGUCGGUAUCACGGCAGGAGAAGACCCGGAUAAUACGAAGGUCUUGAUACAACGCCGAAGAUGUUAGCAGGAAAGCUUCGGCAUGGUUGCAGAAAAUGAAACCGACUUAAAGAUGAAAAGGCUAUUCAGACCUCGAUAGAUUACUAUAGAAUUAUUAUCAAAUGUAAAGGGCAUGAAUGUAAUUUUGUAUGGGCUGUGUCCCGUGCCUAUAAAUAGGUGAACAGAACCCCCGUACUGUUCACGCUGACUUGGCAUUCGCUUUUUGCGUCACGCUUGUACUGUCAUCUCCUUCCGAUUGAAGGUACACUUGUAAUUCAACGAUAUUUCUGUUUAUGUCUGAUAAUAAUAUAUAAUUGUUCAUAUUGUCUUUUAUGUUCUUUACAUUUCAUUCUUCGUCAUUGCUUAAUGAAUUUAUGAAGGUACGUCCUUCAUAACCUUCGUCCGUAAACCAUUAUAUCCUAAGGGAAAUAAUGUUUCGGAGGGCGAAGGACUUUAACGAUUAACAUUUUCUAUGUUGCCUUGUUCUUAACUCAUAGCACUUGAGAACAAGUCCCCAACAUUGGCGCCCACCUCCGGUGAACUCACUUCCACUCUUUGAAGUUUUUUGAACACCUUCGGCGAUCAUAAAUCUUCGUUAUGGCGCCGAAGAAAGCUUCAGCGACUGGGGCUGCAGCUCUGCAACCACUGGACCACAAUCAGGAGACAGUUUCCCUGCGGGAGGCCCGAAGCCAGAAAAGGAAGGCUGUCAGUCCGACACCACCAGAGGACGAGAUAGAUCAAGAAAUCAGAGAUAUGGAGAUGCUUCAUCAACAAGUACAGAGGAAGAAAGAAAAGAUGGCCAGGCUAGCUGAACUGCAGAGGCAGAUAGACGAAGCCUCUGAAGAAGUUCGUCAUCUUGCUCAGGAUGAGCAACACCGAAGGCCUCAGCACCAAGACCUUCAUCAGGAGGGUUUUCCCAACGAAGAUGACUGGUAUGACAAUUUCCAUCAUGGGAAUUUUGUUUUUGAUGAUGCUUCUCCUCUGUCCGCUGAGCUGCAGGCUACACCUUGGCCUCCGUCCUACAAGCCGCCUCAGCUUCCCGUAUUCGAUGGUCACUCAGACCCGAAGCAGUUUUUGAUGAGCUACGAAGCAACAGUAUCUUCGUAUGGUGGCAAUGCUUCAGUCAUGGCCAAAUCUUUCGUUAUGGCUGUCAGAAGUGUUGCUCAAACCUGGUAUUCCUCCCUUCGACCAGGAACGAUCACUUCAUGGCAGAAGCUGAAGGACUUGUUGUUAACUAGCUUUCAAGGAUUUCAGACGAAGCCGGUCACUGCUCAGGCUCUGUUCCAGUGCACCCAGGAUCACGAAGAAUACCUUCAGGCGUAUGUCCGAAGGUUCUUGCGUUUGAGGGCACAGGCACCAACGGUGCCCAAUGAAAUUGUCAUCGAGGCCAUGAUCAAGGGGCUUCGGCCAGGACCGUCAGCUCAGUACUUCGCCAGGAAGCCUCCUCAAACUUUGGAGAAGCUGCUCCAGAAGAUGGACGAGUACAUUCGGGCCGAUAAUGAUUUUCGCCAAAGAAGGGAGGAGGCUUUCAGGUUUUCUGAAAUGACCAGGGGCUUCGGAGGGAGGUUCUACCCGAGGCACGUGAGAUCAAUUCAUAACUCUACACAAAAAUGAUGAUAGAGGAAGCCAACAGCAAAGGCCACAAUGCUCCUCACAGGCUUCGGGGCAACAGCAAAGCUCCUUCCGACCACCAGCUCCAAGAGGCAGAGGCGCCAGGGGCUUUGGAGGAAGAUUUGGAGAUCAACCGAGAAGAAUCUUUUGCUUAUUCUGCGGUGAGAACAAAGGCCAUACUACCAGGAUGUGCCAUGUUACUAUUCAGAAGCAAAAGGAAAUAGCUGAAGCCGCAGCACAACAAGCUCAGCCGAAGCAGGUCAUGCAUACAACUUCGUAUCAUUCGCCCUACAUCCCAGAAUAUGUGGGCAACCAUCCUGCAGUUUCUGUUGCUUCGGCAAGUCAGCCUCAAGCUUCCUGGCAACAGCCUCCGCCUCCACCUCCGUUGCAACAAGGCCAGCAACCAGAAGGGAGCCAGUAUGCUCCACACCAGAGGGACUUCAGAGAGCAGUCCGAAGCUCGUACAGUCAAUAGCACUGUGCCAGAGUCAAAGCACAUCUAUUGACGAAUAUCCUACCUUAAUAGCAAUCUUUUUCAUUCAGUUUUAUUUUCUGUAAUAAAGGACAUUGUUUAGGUUUCAUGUAAUUAGUUUCGUUGAUUCCUACAAGAAAAAUAUGUUUUCCUCACAGGCUUAAAUUGAUUGAAGUUCAAAGACUUGUGAUAAAAAAAAGGACCUUCGAACUAUCGAAAAUUCUUCGAAGCAACAAAAAGUCGUUCUAAGGAACGCAGAGUAAGUUUGCCGAAGUCACAAAAAGUCGUUCCAAAGGGAGCGCAGUGUAAGUUUUCUGCUCCAAAGUCGUUCCAAAGGGAAUGCAGAGCAUACAGCGAAAAGUCAACGCUGAUACCGCCUAAGUAAAAGGCGAAGCGCGAAAAGUCAACGCGAAUACCGCUGAAAGUAAAAGGCGAAGAAGCUCCUAAGGGAGGCUUACAGCGAAAAAUAAACGCUGAUUCCGCUGAAGUAAAAGGCGAAGAAGCUCCUAAGGGAGGCUUAUAAAAGAUGUGUUUUAUUGCAGGGAUGCGUAUGUAUCUUCGGAAUAAACGUCAUCUCACAUAACAUAACAUCAUCGCAUCAUUUCGCAUAGCAUAAGCAUCAUACAUCAUUUUGCACAUGGCACAAGAGGUGGACACAUUAUUAAUCUACAGAAGAACGCUUUGAAAAAAGGGAGAAAUCAAAGUCACAAAAAGAUACAUCAUUGAUCUUCGGAAGUGUAUCUUCGGAAGUGUAGCUUCGGAAAAUAUCUUCACGAAGCCUGGAUAUUAAUCAUCAGAACAUUGGAUAUUGUUGUGACAAAGAAAAAUUCUUCUUCACGAAGCAUGAAAAGAAGGGAAGGUGUUUUUUCGUCAAAGACUCAAAAGUGGUACGUGUAAAGUUUCAUGCAUCGUAAAGAAUUGACUAACAAAAAUAGGUAUAUUACAUUUGGGGUUACAAAAUGUUACAGUAUAUUACAUUUCAGAAAGUUUUCACAAAAAUACUUAAUCUUCUCUCAAAACGACUUCUGCAGCCUCGUUCAGGAGCCGAUUGACGACUUCGUCCAUAAUAUCUUCAGCCAUCUUUUUAAUUUCGUCGUCUCCUUUCGGCUGAGGGCCCGAAGACGCUUUAGCACGAUCUGAAGUAAGACAGCAUGCGGCUACAUUGCUAUUACAAAUCGCAAACAAAUCUUAAAGCCUAAGAUUACAACACGAUAAAAACUAUUAGUUAAUACCUAAUUGACCUUCGGCCUCUGCGCUCUUUUCAGCAGCCUCAGCCACUUCUCUAGCAUCGUGAAUGCCCUUUUCACUUCUUCGAAUAAUUUCUCCGGCCAUUUCUCAGCCACCAUUAUCCCAGAUAUCGGUAAAACAUUUUCCACCAAUUAUACUAGCUUCGGCCGAAGGAUCUCUUGCAUCUUCAAAGGGCAAAGCAGCUUCGGAUUGUGCUAAAAUUUUUACAUGUUCGCAGCCCUUCUUCUCUAAGAUGGUGGCAAUCCCUCUGGCACCAGAGAAGGCACAUAUAUCUCCUCGGCUAUUUAAAAUUUCUUCGAAGGCUUCAGCUUCGUGGUCGAUCCAUUCGAUGACACCUUCGGGAUUGCUUCUCGAAAAGUUUUCCUCACUUGAGAAUGCGCCGACCUUGGCGAAGCUAGCCUUUAGCUUCUUAACACAAUCUAUAGAUUUAUUAUAGCAUCUCUUUUUGGACGAACGAAGCUCUUCAACAGUCACUUCUAGGUGAUCUGCCCAUUGAUCGCUGAGUUCACGCUUUGUUUCUUCAAGUAUGCGUUCUUCCUUGGCUCUGGCCAGUUGUUUCCGAAGAUCUUCAAUUUCGCGCUUCUGAGCUUCAGCUUGACCUUUAAAAGCAGCUUCGUCUUCCUUUAUUUUAUUUAUCAAUGAGUAUAAUAUUUUAUCUUUUUCGAGACCUUCGUUCCUCAGUUCAAUUACUUCGGAACGAAGGUUGCUCAGGGCUAUAGUACACCCUUCGUCUUCAGCAUCUUUCUGUGCCCUGAGGGCAUUGCUAAGUAUCAGGCCCUGCAAAGAGAAAUAUGUGUGCGUCAAUAGGUUUAAACAAACGAAAAAUACAAGGAUUUCAUUUCUCGCACCUUUAAGCUAUUGUAAGCCAGGCUGUCGGCCAGAUCGUUCUUCGACAGCACCGAGAGCCCGUCUUCUAAAGUUGGGAAUCCGAAGCUCUUGCUCAUCUCCCGACAGACAGAAAUUUCCUUGCUAUCGGGGAGACAAUACAAGAAGUCUUCUUCUCCACUGCCAUUGAAUAUUAACGCCCCCUUUGGAUAUUUCAGUUUUUGGGCGUAGUGCUGGGCCUCUUGCUCUUCUUUUUCUGAUAGUUUUUUCCCCGAAGCAUGGCGAACAAUAUAAUCACGAACUUUGGGGGAUGCUUCGGGGGCAAUGGCACCGGUUUCUUCAACAAAAGUUGGCUUUGUUAUUUUUUCUGCCUCACUUUCCAAGGAUUUUAUCUUUGCAGGCUCUGAGGGCCCAGCUUCGGCUUUAGUCUCUUGCCCUGAAGCUUUAGAUCCAGAAAUUUCAGUUGUUUCAGGAAUGACAGCAGCCCUCUUCGGAGGUGUGCUUGAAGAUUUGAUCGUUUCCAGUACAUCUAGCACAUUAGCCAUUCUCUUUCUUUUCGGAGUCACUGCUGGCACUUUCACUAUCUCAAUGUUUGCUGCAGGACUCAAAACUUCUGAUGUUUUGGAUCCCUCAGUUGAUUCUUUUACCUUUUCCAUUUUUUCUGUGGACGGCGCUUCGGCUUUCUCUUUCGUUUCUGAUAACAAAAUUUUUGAUUGUUCCAAUUCUAUCUUUGUUGGCACUUCGGCCGUUUCUGCGACUUCUGGCAGCAAGGUUGGCUCGGUUGGUUUUUCAGCUUCGGUGGCCGAAGAAGUUUCUCCGGUAAACUCAGGCACCGAAGCUGGUUCAAUAUAGCGCGGCCGAUGCGUAAGGACCUUUAUCUUCUUUCUUUUCGGUUCUGGCUCGCUAGGAGCAGUUGCAGCUUCUUCUUUUGCAGAGGUUGUGUUUUUUCUCUUCUGCCUUCGAAUGGGAUAGCAAUAGUCAGGGUAGACAAACCCGAUUGCAUCAAAUACCCGAUUCAGCCUCUUCUUUUUUCGGCCUCCGAAGGCUGCUGACAUUGCAGUAUCUUCGGCCUUCGAAUAGGUCCCAAGCAGCUCAUCACUUAAAUUUUCAAUGCUUUUUAACCAGUCAUCAUCUGGUUCAACGAAUUUAUCUCCAAACUUAAAAGUGUACUUCAACCUGAUAAGUCCACCUUCGUCGGCCUCUUUUAUGGUUUCUUGUGGCAUUUCCCAUUUCUCCGCAAGUGGCCAUACCCUGAAGGCGAUAUGCUCUUGUACUAAGUCCCUCGUUCCAAUAAAAGAACAGAUAACACCGAAGGCCCUCUGGCAUUCUUCGGCAGCCUCACUCAUUUCAACCUUCGGCCUCCGAAGGCCGAAGCUUUGCCAAAUAGGGCGCAUAAUUAUACCUUUGAUAUCUUCUCGCGCUGUCAGAUCAUUCUUCACAUAAAACCAUUCUGUCAUCCAGUCGCCGGGCCAUCUCUUCCGAAAGGUCGGCACGGGACAGCUUGACCCGGACCGAGAAACGAAAUUGUAGCAGCCAAAAUUAUUGUGAUACUGUUCCUUACCCCAAGGUUUUGUUUCGUAUGAUAAUUCGUGUAUAUUGCAGAAACUUUUUGCAUCAGGCUUCAGACCUUGGCUUCUCACGGCCCACACGAAGAUAUUUAGCCUUAUAAUUGCCUCAGGGGUAAGUUGAUGGAGAUAGACUUCGAAUAUUUUCAGUACCUCCACAACGAAGCUGCUCAAGGGAAAUCGCAGUCCAGCUUUCAAAAAGCUUCGGUACACUACGACUUCAUUCUCUUCAGGGUGUGGGCAAGUUUUUUCCCCUUCGUCGGCCCUCACAAUGGACAAAUCCCGGAAAUACCUUCCUCUCAUGUUGACAAGAUGAUUCUCUUUGAUAGUUGAUUUACCAUAAACUGAAUGGCUUGGUCGCCAGGGACGAUCUUCGGAGUCCUCACCACCACUGUCCACAUCAUAGCUGUCACUGUCACCAGUAUCUUCAGACAAACCUUCCAGAAUCUCCUUGGUAAUUUUUUCUGUAUUGGUCUUUGACAUCGCUAUAAGAAACCCCAAGUUUUUCUCUUCGUCAAGGCUCAGCUUCAUCUCAGCAACAGUCUUCUUAUCUUCAGACAUCUUCGGAGACGCUAAAAAACUAUUUUCAAAGCCGAAGCUUCAAAACUAAAAGCUUAGCAAAUCGCAGUGCACAAGAGCUAAAAAUUGAGUGAGCGGGAGUAGUUGGCCAGAAAGCGUGUCAAAUGAGUUUGCGGUAUGGCCGUAUUUAUACGCCAAGAGCGUUGAAAAUUCAAAGACCCCGCUUGUCAGUGAAUGUUGCUAUUCUAGCAAAGGGAAGGUGUUUUUUCGGACCUUCGGCGUAAAGCCUUCGUCCAUGUCGCAAUCUAAAUUCGUUAUUUUAAAACAAAUUAAUAUUGCGAGGGGCUACUGUUGGGGACCUUCGGCAUCCGAAGGUCCUCAAAAACGGGAUUUAACAGUAUUUCUGGAAGUAUAAUGUGUGAGCAGGUACCUUCGGACUCAAGUCGGUAUCACGGCAGGAGAAGACCCGGAUAAUACGAAGGUCUUGAUACAACGCCGAAGAUGUUAGCAGGAAAGCUUCGGCAUGGUUGCAGAAAAUAAAACCGACUUAAAGAUGAAAAGGCUAUUCAGACCUCGAUAGAUUAUAUAGAAUUAUUAUCAAAUGUAAAGGGCAUGAAUGUAAUUUUGUAUGGGCUGUGUCCCGUGCCUAUAAAUAGGUGAACAGAACCCCCGUACUGUUCACGCUGACUUGGCAUUCGCUUUUUGCGUCACGCUUGUACUGUCAUCUCCUUCCGAUUGAAGGUACACUUGUAAUUCAACGAUAUUUCUAUUUAUGUCUGAUAAUAAUAUAUAAUUGUUCAUAUUGUCUUUUAUAUUCUUUACAUUUCAUUCUUCGUCAUUGCUUAAUGAAUUUAUGAAGGUACGUCCUUCAUAACCUUCGUCCGUAAACCAUUAUAUCCUAAGGGAAAUAAUGUUUCGGAGGGCGAAGGACUUUAACGAUUAACAUUUUCUAUGUUGCCUUGUUCUUAACUCAUAGCACUUGAGAACAAGUCCCCAACACUGUGCCUCAUACAUGCUCUUUGGUAGAACGUGAUCCUCCGGAAGCAGGCUACCAAUAACUGUCAACAAGCAAUCGAAUGCGUCUUGACUCAUGUUAUACUGCGACUUGAACGCUAUUACAUGCCCAAUGGCAUCCAGUUGAGAAACCUUUGUCUGGCUGUGAAGGGGCUUCUGUGCCACGUCAAACAUGUCGUAGAACGCCUUUGCAAUCGGCUCUAGCUCGUCCUCCAUACAUCCUCCGACGAACUAUGCCUCAUGAUAGUCGUUCAACAUAUCUGCUACCCCCGCAUCAGCAUCAUAAUCCUCGACGUGUUGUCUCUGAAAGGGAAAUAAGCUUACACCUUUUCCUAAAUGAUUUUGGUGGUUGAAUUGCCCAACACAAAUAAUUGGACUAACUAGUUUGCUCUAGGUUAUAAGUUCUAUAGGUGCCAAAGGUUCAACACAUACCAAUAAAAAGUCCAAGAAAGGGUUCAAAUAAAAAGAGCAAAAGACAACCGAAGGCUGCCCUGGUCUGGCGCACUGGACUGUCCGAUGUGCCACCGGACAGUGUCCGGUGCACCAGAGAGAUUCACUCCAAACUUGCCACCUUCGGGAAUUUGGGAAGCCACUCCGCUAUAAUUCACCGGACUGUCCGGUGUGCCAAGCGGAGCAACGGUCGCCAACGCAAUGGUCGAGUUCAACGGUCGGCUGACAACGCUACAGUGCGCGGACUACGCGCGUAGAAGUCAGAGAAGGCGCAGAUGGCGCACCGGACAGUGAAGAGGACCUGUCUGGUGCACCAUCGGACUGUCCGGUGGCCCACAUGUCAGAAACUCCAACGGUCGAACCCUAACGGUUGGGUGACGUGGCUGGCGCACCGGACAGUGUCCGGUGGCGCACCGGACUGUCCGGUGCGCCCAUCGACAGCAGAGUUCCCCAACGACCACUUUGGUGGUUGGGGCUAUAAAUACCCCCCAACCACCACACUUCGAUGCAUCCAAGUUUUCAGCCAUCAAACCUCAUACAAGAGCUCUAGACUUCAUUCCAAGACACAAACAAAGAGAUCAAAUCCUCUCCCAAGUCUGGAAUCACUCCAAACAAAUUAGUGACUAGAGAGAGAGAGACUUUUGUGUUCUUUUAAGCUCUUGUGCUUGGAUCGCUUUUCUUCUUCCUCCUUUCUUGUUCUCAACUCAAUUGUAAUCAAAGCAAGAGACACCAAGUUGUGGUGGUCCUUGUAGUGGACUAAGUGUCCCGUUUGAUUGAAGAGAAAAGCUCACUCGGUCUAGGUGACCGUUUGAGAGAGGGAAAGGGUUGAAAGAGACCCGAUCUUUGUGACCACCUCAACGGGGAGUAGGUUUGCAAGAACCGAACCUCGGUAAAACAAAUCACCGUGUUCAUCUGUUUUAUUUCUUUGUUGAUUUGUUUUCCCUUUCUUUCGGACUUGAUUAUAUUUCUAACGCUAACCCUUGCUUGUAGUUGUGCUUAAACUUUAUAAAUUUCAGAUUUGCCUAUUCACCCCCCUCUAGGCGACUUUCAAUUGGUAUCAGAGCCCGGUACUUCAUUAGAGCCUAACCACUCGAUGUCAUGUCGGGAGCUCACGCCAAGAAGGAGAUGGUGACCGGCGAGAAGCCCGCCACAAGCCACGGGAAGGCUCCAUCGGGAGAGUCCGGCAACAAAAGGGAGGAAUCACCUCCCCACGUCAAGUCGCACCGGAGUGGUGACCAGAAGAAGAAAAUGAAGAAAGUGUUCUACUGUGAGACCGAUUCUUCGUCGCCAUCCACCUCCACGUCCGACGCGCCGUCCGUCACUUCUAAGCGCCAUGAGCGCAAGAAGUUUAGUAAGAUCUCCUUACGCUAUCCUCGUAUUUCCAAAUGCACUCCUUUACUUUCCGUCCCACUAGGCAAACCACCGGUUUUUGACGGUGAACAUUAUUGUAUGUGGAGUGAUAAAAUGAGGCACCAUCUAACCUCACUCCACGCUAGUAUUUGGGACAUUGUUGAGUUUGGUGCGCAGGAACCAUCCGUGGGGGAUGAAGGCUAUGAUUCGGAUGAGGUAGCCCAAAUCCAGCACUUCAACUCCCAAGCCACCACUAUACUCCUCGCCUCUCUAAGUCGAGAGGAGUAUAAUAAGGUGCAAGGGUUGAAGAGCGCCAAAGAGAUUUGGGACGUACUAAAGACCACACACGAAGGAGACGAGGUGACCAAGAUCACCAAGAGCGAAACGAUCGAGGGGGAGCUCGGUCGCUUCAUGCUUCAUCAAGGGGAGGAGCCACAAGCAAUGUACAACCGGCUCUAGACCUUGGUGAACCAAGUGCGCAACCUCAGGAGCACCAAAUGGGAUGACCAUGAAAUGGUCAAGGUUAUUCUAAGAUCACUUAUAUUUCUUAAUCCUACACAAGUUCAAUUAAUUCGUGGUGAUCCUAGAUACAAGAUAAUGUCUCCCGAGGAGGUUAUAGGAAAAUUUGUGAGCUUUGAAUUGAUGAUCAAAGGCUCCAAGAAAAUCAUCGAGCAAGGCGCCUCCUCCACACCCGAAAUGCAACUCGUCGCAUUCAAGGCAACAGAGGAGAAGAAAGAAGAGUCUACUUCAAGUAGACUUCCCAUCGACGCCUCCAAGCUCGACAACGAGGAAAUGGCGCUCAUCAUCAGGAGCUUUCGCCAAAUCCUCAAGCAAAGGAGGGGGAAGGACUACAAGCCCCGCUCCAAGAAAGUUUGCUACAAGUGUGGUAAGCCCGGACAUUUCAUUGCUAAAUGUCCAUUAUCAAGUGAUAGUGACAGGGGCGAUGACAAGAAGGGGAGAAGGAAGGAGAAGAAGAAAUAUUACAAGAAGAAGGGCGGCGAUGCCCAUGUAUGCCACGAGUGGGACUCCGAUGAGAGCUCCACCGACUCCUCCUCCGACGAGAACGCCGCAAACAUCGCCAUCAACAAGGGUCUUCUCCUUCCCAACGUCGAUCACAAGUGCCUCAUGGCAAAGGACGACAAAAAGAAGAAGGUAAAAUCUAGAGCUUCCACUAAAUAUGCAACAUCUAGUGAUGAGGCUAGCUCUAGUGAUGAUGAGGAUGAUUUGAUCACCCUUUUUGCCAACUUAAACAUUCAACAAAAAGACAAAUUGAAUGAAUCGAUUAGUGUUAUUCAUGAGAAGGAUGAACUCUUGGAUAGCCAAGAGGACUUCCUUAUUAAAGAAAAUAAGAAGCAUGUUAAAGUUAAAAAUGCUUAUGCUCAGGAGAUAGAAAAAUGUGAAAAAUUAACUAGUGAUCUAAGCACUUGCCAUGACACUAUUUUCAACCUUAGAUUUGAAAAUGACAAAUUGAUUGCUAAGGUUGAGAAAUUAAAUGUUAGUGAUGAUUCUCUUGUCAACCUUAGAAAUGAUAAUGCUAAUUUGAUUGCUAAGGUUGACAAAUUGAAUGCAUCUCUCUCUAGCCUUAAAAUUGAGAAUGAAAAAUUAAUUGCUAAGGCUAAAGAUUUAAAUGUUUGCAAUGUUUCUAUUUCCAAUCUUAGAGAUGAGAACACUAUUUUACAUGCUAAGAUUGUUGAAUUAAAUACUUGCAAACCCUCAACAUCUACCGUUGAACAUGUUACUAUUUGCACUAGAUGUAGAGAUGUUAAUAUUGAUGCUAUUCAUGAUCACAUUGCUAUGAUUAAACAACAAAAUGAUCAUAUAGCAAAAUUAGAUGCUAAAAUUGCCGAGCAUGAAUUAGAGAAUGAAAAAUUUAAAUUUGCUCGUAAUAUGCUUUAUGGUGGGAGACGCCCUGGCAUUAAGGAUGGCAUUGGCUUCCAACAGGGAGGCGAUGUCAAACUCAAUGCCCCUAAGAAAUUGUCCAACUUUGUUAAGGGCAAGGCUCCCAUGGUUUAGGAUAACGAGGGUUACAUUUUAUACCCUGACGGUUAUCCCGAACAUAAAAUUAGGAGAAUUCACUCUAGGAAGUCUCACUCUGGCUCUCAUCAUGCUUUUAUGAAUAAGAGUGAGGCAUCUAGUUCUAGGAAAUCCACCCAUGCUAAAUUGCCUAAGAAGAAAACUCCUAUAGCAUCAAACGAACCUAAUUUUUCAUUUAAGACUUUUGAUGCUUCUUAUGUGCUCACUAACAAAUCAGGCAAAAUAGUUGCCAAAUAUGUUGGGGCUAAACACAAGGGAUCAAAGACUUGUGUUUGGGUACCCAAGGUGCUUGUUUCUAAUGUGAAAGGACCCAAGACCAUUUGGGUACCUAAGAACAAGGCCUAAACUUGUUUUGUAGGUUUAUGCAUGCGGGGGCUCAAGUUUGAUCAUCGAUAGCGGGUGCACAAACCACAUGACUGGGGAGAAAAUAAUGUUCUCCUCCUAUGAGAAAAAUCAUGAUCCCCAAAGAGCUAUCACAUUCGGGGAUGGAAAUCAAGGUUUGGUCAAAGGACUUGGUAAAAUUGCUAUAUCCCCUGACCAUUCUAUUUCCAAUGUUUUUCUUGUAGAUUCUUUAGAUUACAACUUGCUUUCUGUUUCUCAAUUAUGCAAAAUGGGUUACAACUGUCUUUUUACGGAUAUAGGUGUUACUGUCUUUAGAAGAAGUGAUGAUUCUGUAGCAUUUAAGGGAGUGUUAGAGGGUUAGCUAUACUUAGUUGAUUUUAAUAGAGCUGAACUCGACACUUGCUUAAUUGCUAAGACUAACAUGGGUUGGCUCUGGCAUCGCCGACUUGCCCACGUUUAAAUGAAGAAUCUCCACAAACUUCUAAAGGGAGAACACAUUUUGGGACUAACAAAUGUUCAUUUUGAGAAAGACAGGGUUUGUAGCGCAUGUCAAGCAGGGGAAGCAAGUUGGUGUUCAUCAUCCACACAAGAACAUAAUGACGACCGACAGACCGCUUGAGCUACUCCACAUGGACCUAUUCGGCCCGAUAGCUUAUAUAAGCAUCAACGGGAGUAAGUAUUGUCUUGUAAUUGUGGAUGAUUAUUCUCGCUUCACUUGGGUGUUAUUUUUGCAGGAAAAAUCUCAAACCCAAGAGACCUUAAAGGGAUUCUUGAGAUGGGCUCAAAAUGAGUUCGGCUUAAGGAUCAAAAAGAUAAGAAGCGACAACGGGACGGAGUUCAAGAACUCUCAAAUAGAAGGCUUCCUUGAGGAUGAGGGCAUCAAGCAUGAGUUCUCUUCUCCCUACACACCACAACAAAAUGGUGUAGUGGAGAGGAAGAAUAGAACUCUACUUGACAUGGCGAGGACCAUGCUUGAUGAGUACAAGACUUCGGACCGGUUUUGGGCGGAAGCAGUCAACACCGCUUGCUACGCCAUCAACCGUCUCUACCUUUGCCGAAUACUCAAGAAGACAUCGUAUGAACUACUCACCGGUAAAAAGCCCAAUGUUUCAUAUUUUAGAGUCUUUGGUAGCAAAUGCUUUAUUCUUGUUAAAAGAGGUAGAAAAUCUAAAUUUGCUCCUAAGGCUGUAGAAGGCUUUUUACUUGGUUAUGAUUCAAACACAAGGGCAUAUAGAGUCUUUAACAAGUCCUCUGGACUAGUUGAGGUUACUUGUGACAUUGUGUUUGAUGAGACUAACGGCUCUCAAGUAGAGCAAGUUGAUCUUGAUGAGCUAGAUGAUGAAGAGGCUCCAUGCGUCGCGCUAAGGAACAUGUCCAUUGGGGAUGUGUGUCCUAAGGAAUCCGAAGAGCCUCCACAAGCACAAGAUCAACCAUCUUCCUCCAUGCAAGCAUCUCCACCAACUCAAGAUGAGGAUCAAGCUCAAGAGGAUGAAAAUGAAGAUCAAGAAGAUGAGCCACCUCAAGAGGAGGGCAAUGAUCAAGGGGGAGAUGCCAAUGAUCAAGACAAGGAAGAUGACGACAGUCCAAGACCACCACACCCAAGAGUCCACCAAGCAAUACAAAGAGAUCACCCCGUGAACUCCAUCCUCGGCGAUAUUCAUAAGGGGGUAACCACUCGAUCUCGUGUUGCUCAUUUUUGUGAACAUUACACCUUUGUAUCUUCUAUUGAGCCAUAUAGGGUGGAAGACACAUUAAGGGAUUCAGAUUGGGUGUUGGCGAUGCAAGAGGAACUCAACAACUUCACGAGGAAUGAGGUAUGACAUUUAGUUCCACGCCCUAAUCAAAAUGUUGUAGGAACCAAGUGGGUCUUCCGCAACAAGCAAGAUGAGCAUGGUGUGGUGACAAGGAACAAAGCCCGACUUGUGGCCAAGGGAUAAUCACAAGUCGAAGGUUUGGAUUUCGGUGAAACCUAUGCACCCGUAGCUAGGCUUGAGUCAAUUUGUAUAUUACUUGCCUAUGCUACUUACCAUGGCUUCAAGCUUUAUCAAAUGGACGUGAAAAGUGCCUUCCUCAAUGGACCAAUCAAGGAAGAAGUCUAUGUUGAGCAACCUCCCGACUUUGAAGAUAGUGAGUACCCUAACCAUGUGUAUAAACUCUCUAAGGCGCUUUAUGGGCUCAAGCAAGCCCCAAGAUCAUGGUAUGAAUGCCUAAGAGAUUUUCUUAUCGCUAAUGGCUUCAAAGUCGGAAAAGCCGAUCCUACUCUCUUUACUAAAACAAUUGCAAAUGAUUUGUUUGUAUGCCAAAUUUAUGUUGAUGAUAUUAUAUUUGGGUCUACUAACAAAUCUACAUUUGAAGAGUUUAGUAGAUAAUGGUACAAAAAUUCGAGAUGUCUAUGAUGGGGGAGUUGAAGUAUUUCUUAGGAUUUCAAGUGAAGCAACUCCAAGAGGGCAUCUUCAUCAGUCAAACGAAGUACAUUCAAGACAUACUCACCAAGUUUGGGAUGAAGGAUGCCAAGCCUAUCAAGACACCCAUGGGAACCAAUGGGCAUCUUGACCUCGACACGAGAGGUAAAUCCAUAGAUCAAAAGGUAUACCGGUCGAUGAUAGGAUCUUUACUCUAUUUAUGUGCAUCUCGACCGGAUAUUAUGCUUUUCAUAUGCAUGUGUGCAAGAUUCCAAGCCGAUCCUAAGGAAGUUCACCUUAGGGUCGUGAAAUGAAUCUUGAGAUAUUUAGUUCAUACUCCUAAGUUUGGCCUUUGGUACCCCAGGGGAUCCACAUUUGAUUUAAUAGGAUAUUUAGAUGCUGAUUGGGCAGGGUGUAAAAUUGAUAGAAAGAGCACAUCAGGGACUUGUUAGUUCUUGGGAAGAUCCCUGGUGUCAUAGGCUUCAAAGAAGCAAAAUUUUGUAUCUCUUUCUACCACCGAAGCCGAGUACAUUACCGCAGGCCAUUGUUGCGCGCAAUUGCUUUGGAUGAGGCAAACCCUUAGGGACUAUGGUUACAAAUUAACCAAAGUUCCGCUCCUAUGUGAUAAUGAGAGUGCAAUCCACAUGGUGGAUAAUCCCGUUGAGCACAACCGCACUAAGCACAUAGCCAUUCGGUAUCACUUUUUGAGGGAUCACCAACAAAAGGGGGAUAUCGAGAUUGUUUAUAUUAACACCAAAGAACAAUUAGCCGAUAUCUUUACCAAUGUUGGGGACUUGUUCUCAAAUGCUAUGAGUUAAGAACAAGGCAACACAAGAAAUGUUAAACGUUAAUGCCCUUCGUCCUUCGAGACAUUAUUUCCCUUAGGAUAUAAUGAUCUUCAGACGAAGGUCAUGAAGGACAUACCUUCAUCAUUGCAAUAUACGAUAAUAAAAGGAGAAUCAUAUAGAAUGUAAGAGACAACAUGAAUAAGUAUGUAAUAUUAUCAGCACAUUUCUAUUUUAUUAUCAUGGACAAAUAGAAAUGAUAUCAAAUUACAAAUGUACCUUCAGCUUGAUGGAAGGUAAAAGUACAAGUGUGACGCACGAUCAAAUACAAGUCAGCGUGAACAGUACGGGAGCACUGUUCAUCUAUUUAUAGGCACGGGACACAGCCCAUGUAAAAUUACACCCAUGCCUUUUACAUUUGCUAAUGACUCUAUAGUGAUCCAUCGAGGUCUAAAUGACCUUUUCCCUUUUAAGUCGGUUCCCUUUUCCGCUGUUAUGCCAAAGCUCCCUUGCGCGUAGCUUCGGCGCUACGUCAACCUUCGUAUUCUUUGUGCUUCUCACACUGUGGUUCUGAUCCGAGUCCGAAGGUACCUGUUCAUGUAUCAUACUCCAGAAAUAAUGUUAAAUCAUGUUUUUGAAGACCUUCGGAAGACGAAGGCCCCCAACAGUAGCCCCUCGCAAUAUUAAUUUGUUAGAAUAACGAAUUCAAAUUGCGAUAUGGACGAAGGCCUUAAGCCAAAAUUCUGAAAAAACACCUUCCCUUUGCUAGAAUAGCAACAGUCGAUGACAGACGGGGCCCUCCAAUUUGGAACGCACUGGGCGUAUAAAUAGGAACUCACCCCGAGCACAUUUGGUACGCUAUCUGCCGCCUGCUUUGCUUGCUCAAUUUUUUAGCUCUUGCCUACCAACGCUUGCUUGGUUUUUUAGACUUUCUAAGCUUCGGCUUUAAGGACACAUUUUCGCCAUUUCCGAAGAGAAGAUGUCUCAAGACAAAAAAGUUGUUGCUGAGACGAAGCUGAGCGAAGAGGAGAAGCUCCAUGAGGAGAAGACUGCUGGAUUUGUUGAAUCAAUAGCAAAGAAAAAUACAGAAAAGAUUACUAAGGAGAUUCUAGAAGGCUUAUCUGAAGAUACUGAUGACAGCGACAGUUAUGAUGCGGAAAGCGGAGGCGAAGACUCCGAAGAUCGGCCCUGGCGACCAAGCAUGCAGUCUUCGGGAAAUCAACCAUCAAACAGAGUCAUCUUGAUAAUAUGAGAGGAAGGUAUUUUCGAUAUUAUUUUUUUGUUCUUAUAUUAACCCAUUCAUUCUUUUCAUAUAGGGUUUAAUACUUAGCAACGCCUUAAGGGCGCAAAAGAAUGUCGAAGACGAGAGUUGCACUAUUGCUCUCAACAACCUUCAAACAGAGGUUAUCAAGCUGAGGAACGAAGCUUUGGAAAAAGAAAAAAUUCUACUUACAUUGGUGGACAAAGUAAAGGGGGAUGAAGCUAACUUCAAGGCUCAAUCUGAAAUCCAAAGGAAUGAGAUUGAAAACCUUCAAAAACAACUGGCCGAAGCCAAAUUGAAAUGCGCUAUUGCCGAAGCUGACCGAGUUGCCAGUGAGUACUAGAAAAAUUAUCUUGAAAAACAGUUGCAGAGCUUCGCUCAUCAAAAGAAAGAUGUUUUGAAAAAUCUGUGGAAUGCGUGAAAAAGAUAAAAACUAGCUUUGCCAACGUUGGCGCAUAUUCAAGCGAAGAUAACUUCAUACGGGGCGACCCCGAAGGCGUAAUCGAGUGGAUCAGCGGUGAGGCCGAAGCCUUUGAAGAGAUUUUGAGUGACCGCGGGGACGUCUGUGCCUUCUCUGGUGCGAGAGGAAUUGCAGCUAUUUUGGAGAAAGCAGGGUGCGAACAUGUUAAAACUUUGGCCCAGGCCGAAGCUGCCUUCUCCACCGAUGAUAUAAAGGACCCCUCGGCCGAAGCAAACUCAAUAGGUGGAAAAAAUUUCACUGAUAUCUGGGAAAACGGUGGCCGAGGGAUGGCCCAUGAAAUUAUAAAGAAAAACGAAAAAGAUAUUCACGACACUCGAGAGUCAAUAAAAGAAGCUGAAAAGGCUGCGGAGCUUGAGAGACGAAUAUGUAUUACUUAAUGGUUUUUAACUUUGUUGUUUAUUUUUGUGACUUUGAACUGAUUUAUGUUUUCUACCUUAGCUGAACUAUCUCCUCCCCCAGCGCCCUUAGAGUCAUUGGCCGACCCAGAGGCAAAGGAAUCAACAGAACUUAUUAACAUGGCCGAAACUAUUGUAGACGAAGUCGUUACCCAACUGCUGACCGAAUUUGCACAUAAAGUUUUGAAGGAAGAAGAGUAGCUAUUGUAAAAACAUUGCUAGAAUAUUAAUGUAACAUUUGCCGGACUAUGCUUGUAAUAUUUGGUGCUCCUAGGUUUUGAAUGUAAUAUAUGAAUGGUUUUGUAAUUCAUUUCUUUGCGAUGCAUGAAACUUUUAUGUACAUACCGUUUUUGAGCCUUCGGCGAAAAAACACCUUCCCUUCUUUUCAUGUUCGUAAAGAAGAGCUUUUAUGCUUCGUAAAAAAUCCUCCAAUCGUCGCAAAAACAUUAAUGCUUCGUCAACAACAGAUUUUUCCUCCACAUCAGAGCUGAUGAAGCUGUAUUUCUUCAAAACUUAUUUUGUGCCUUAGCACAAUUUCACUUUUUUCGAAGCAUUCUUCGAAGGUCAACAUUGUAUCCCCUUCUUGUGCCAUUGAUGCAAUAUGAUGUAUGAUGUUAUGUUAUGUGAAAUGAUGUGAUGAUGUUAUGUUAUGCAAAAUGAUGUUUAUGCCGAAGACACACACUCACACCCCCAUAGUGGAAUACACAAUCUCUUUGCCGCUUAUUUUUCGGCUUCACCGCUUAUUUUUCGGUGUAUCAGCGCUGACUUUUCACUGUAAGUUCUGCAUUCCCUUAGGAACGUCUUUUGAACUUCUUCACCUUCUAUUUCGGCGGUAUUCGCGUUGACUUUUCGCGCUUCGCCUUAUAUUUCGGCGGUAUUUGGCUCUGCAUUCCCUUUGGAAUGACUUUUGAGCAGAAAACUUACACUGCGCUCCCUUAGGAACGACUUUUUGUAGCUUCGGCAAACUUACGCUGCGUUCCUUAGAACGACUUUUUUGUGGCUUCGGUGAUACUUGUAAUGUGAUUUUUAGCCCCGCGUUCCCUUAGGAACGACUUUUGUGCUUCAGUGACUUUUUGAACUUCGUGAGUCUGUGGAGAAGAUAUAUUUCACUAUGGCAAGAACGAAGUUAUUACAAGAAAUCAAGAGAGCUAGGUUUUCAAUAAUUGUUCCUUAUUAAAAAGGAAGUGAUAAUGAAUGUAAAAACUGCUUCAGGGGUAGGAUAUCUCUCAAUAGAUAUGCUUCGAUUCUAGCACAGUACUGUUGGCUGUGCGAGCUUCGGACUCCUCCCUGAAAUCUCGUUGCUGAUGGGUCUGUUGGCUCCCUUCUGGCUGCUGGCCUCGUGAAUAUGCAGGUUGUAGUGGUGGCAGAGGUGGAGGCUGUGGCCAAGAUGCAUGUGGCUGGCUAGCCGAAGCAACAGAAGCUGCAGGAUGGUUACCCACAUACUCUGGUAUGUAGGGUGAGUGAUACGAAGCAGUGUGCAUGACCUGCUUCGGCUGGUUCUGCUGAGCUGCGGCUUCUGCUAAUUCCUUUUGUUUCUGAAUGGUGACAUGGCACAUCCUUGUAGUAUGGCCCUUGUCCUCACCACAGAAUAAGCAAUUUUCCUAGGUUGAUCCCCAAACCUUCCUCCGAAGCCCCUGGCACCUCUGCCUCUUGGAGUUGGCGGCCGAAAAUAGGUUUGUUGCUGCCCCGAAACUUGCGAGGAAUAUUGUGGCUUCUGUUGCUGACUUCCUCUGUCGUCAUUCUGGGUGGAGUGGAUUGAUCUGACAUGCCUUGGGUGGAUUCUUCCUCCGAAGCCCCUGGUCAUCUCAGAGAACCUGUAGGCUUCCUCCCUUCUUUGGCGAAAGUCAUUGUCAGCCCGGAUGUAUUCAUCCAUCUUUUGAAGCAGCUUCUCCAAAGUCUGUGGAGGCUUUCUAGCAAAAUACUGGGCAGUAGGUCCUGGAUGAAGCCCCUUGAUCAUGGCCUCAAUGACAAUUUCAUUGGGCACAGUAGGCACUUGUGCUCUCAGACGCAAGAACCUUCAGACGUAUGCCUGGAGAUACUCCUCAUGAUCUUGCGUGCAUUGAAACAGAGCCUGAGCUGUGACUGGCUUCGUCUGAAAGCCCUGGAAACUUGUCACCAGCAUGUCCUUGAGCUUCUGCCAUGAAGUGAUGGUCCCUGGCCGAAGAGAAGAAUACCACGUUUGAGCCACAUUCUUAACUGCCAUGACGAAGGACUUGGCCAUGACAGCUGCAUUGCCUCCGUAUGAAGAUAUAGUUGCUUCAUAACUCAUCAAAAACUGCUUCGGGUCUGAAUGCCCAUCAUACAUUGGAAGCUGAGGUGGCUUGUAUGAUGGGGGCCACGGGAUAGCCUGCAGUUCUGCUGCCAAGGGAGAAGCAUCAUCAAAAGUAAAGGUAUCAUGAUUAAAAUCAUCAUACCAUCCAUCGUCGUUGAACAAGCCCUCUUGAUGAAGCUCCCUGUGUUGGGGCCUUCGAUCUUGCUCGUCUUGAGCAAGGUGGCGUACUUCUUCAGUGGCUUCGUCAAUCUGCCUUUGAAGGUCAGCUUGUCGGGCCAUCUUCUCCUUCUUCUUUUGCACUUGCUGAUGAAGCAUCUCCAUGUUUCUGAUUUCUUGGUCCAACUCGUCCACCUGGGGUGUUGGACUAGUGGCCUUCCUCUUCUGGCUUCGGGCCUCUCGAAGAGAAAGGGUCUCCUGAUUUGGGUCCAGUGGCUGCAGAGCGGCAGCCCCUAGCGCUGAAACUUUCUUCGGUGGCAUGACGAAGGUCAAUGCUUGCCGAAGGUGGUCGAAAAGAGUUCACCCCACGGUGGGCGCCAAUGUUGGGGACUUGUUCUCAAAUGCUAUGAGUUAGGAACAAGGCAACAUAAGAAAUGUUAAACGUUAAUGCCCUUCGUCCUUCGAGACAUUAUUUCCCUUAGGAUAUAAUGAUCUUCAGACGAAGGUCAUGAAGGACAUACCUUCAUCAUUGCAAUAUACGAUAAUAAAAGGAGAAUCAUAUAGAAUGUAAGAGACAACAUGAAUAAGUAUGUAAUAUUAUCAGCACAUUUCUAUUUUAUUAUCAUGGACAAAUAGAAAUGAUAUCAAAUUACAAAUGUACCUUCAGCUUGAUGGAAGGUAAAAGUACAAGUGUGACACACGAUCAAAUACAAGUCAGCGUGAACAGUACGGGAGCACUGUUCAUCUAUUUAUAGGCACGGGACACAGCCCAUGUAAAAUUACACCCAUGCCCUUUACAUUUGCUAAUGACUCUAUAGUGAUCCAUCGAGGUCUAAAUGGCCUUUUCCCUUUUAAGUCAGUUCCCUUUUCCGCUGUUAUGCCGAAGCUCCCUUGUGCGUAGCUUCAGCGCUACGUCAACCUUCGUAUUCUUUGUGCUUCUCACACUGUGGUUCUGAUCCGAGUCCGAAGGUACCUGUUCAUGUAUCAUACUCCAGAAACAUUGUUAAAUCAUGUUUUUGAGGACCUUCGGAAGACGAAGGCCCCCGACAACCAAGCCACUAGAUGAGAAAACUUUUACCAAUCUUAGGCAUGAGCUAAACAUUCUAGAUUCUAGGAAUUUUGAUUGAUAUUUUGCACACAUAGCUUAUUUCAAUACCUUUGAUCAUAUCUCUUUCAUGUGCUAUGACUAAUGUGGUUUUCAAGUAUAUUUCAUGCUAAGUCAUAGAUUGAAAGGAAAAUGGAGUCUUCGGCGAAGAAAAGGCUUCCACUCCAUCGAAUUAUUCAUCCUUCGCCGACACUCCACAUCGCUCUCCAAUUUGGUAUAAUCUUCACUCCUACAUUAUUUACCAAAGGGGGAGAAAGUUUGAAAAAGGGCUUAUAUUUUCACUCACAAGUAUCCGUUUUUGGCGAUUCAUGCCAAAGGGGGAGAAAGUAUUAGCCCAAAGCAAAAGGACCGCACCACCACCAAUUUCAAAAAUGAAGUCUUUUAAAUUUGUACUAAAAGAAGGUUUUUCAAUUGGUAUCUUAUUUUUGAUAGAAUUUUCAAAUUGGUAUAACCCAUUUCAAAAUUAAUAUCUAAAACUCUCUUGAACAAUAAGAGGAGAAUUUCAUUAAGGGGGAGUUUUGUUUAGUCAAAGGAAAAGCAUUUGAAACAGGGGGAGAAAAUUUCAAAUCUUAAAAAUGCUUCUCAAAAUCUUACUCAUUUACCUUUGACUACUUGCAAAAAGACUUUGAAAAGAAUUUCCAAAAGAGUUUGCAAAAACAAAACAAGUGCUGCAAGCGUGGUCCAAAAUGUUAAAAUAGAAGAAAGCAUCCAUGCAUAUCUUAUAAAAUGUAUAUUGGUUUAAUUCCAAGUAACCUUUGCACUUUCAUUAUGCAAACUAGUUCAAUUCUGCAAUUAUAUAUUUGCUUUGGUUUGUGUUGGCAUCAAUCAUCAAAAAGGGGGAGAUUGAAAGGGAAAUAGGCUUACACCUUUUCCUAAAUGGUUUUGGUGGUUGAAUUGCCCAACGCAAAUAAUUGGACUAACUAGUUUGCUCUAGAUUAUAAGUUCUACAUGUGCCAGAGGUUCAACACAAACCAAUAAAAAGUCCAAGAAAGGGUUCAAAUAAAAAGAGCAAAAGACAACCGAAUGCUGCCCUGGUCUGGCGCACCGGACAGUGUCCGGUGCACCAGGGAGAUUCACUCCAAACUUGCCACCUUUGGGAAUUUGGGAAGCCACUCCGCUAUAAUUCACCGGACUGUCCGGUGUAGCACCGGACUGUCCAGUGUGCCAAGCGGAGCAACGGUCGUUAGCGCAACGGUCGAGUUGAACGGUCGGCUCACAACGCUACAGUGCGCGUACUGCGCGCGCAGAAGUUAGAGCAGGUGCAGAUGGCGCAUCGGACAGUGAACAGGACCUGUCCGGUGCACCACCGGACUAUCCGGUGGCCCACAUGUCAGAAGCUCCAACGGUCGAACCCUAACGGUUGGGUGACGUGGCUGGCGCACCGGACAGUGGCCGGUGGCGCACCGGACUGUCCGGUGCGCCCAUCGACAGUAGAGUUCCCCAACGGCCACUUUGGUGGUUGGGGCUAUAAAUACCCCCCAACCACCACACUUCAAUGCAUCCAAGUUUUCAGCCAUCAAACCUCAUACAAGAGCUCUAUACUUCAUUCCAAGACACAAACAAAGAGAUCAAAUCCUCUCCCAAGUCCGGAAUCACUUCAAACAAAUUAGUGACUAGAGAGAGAGACUUUUGUGUUCUUUUGAGCUCUUGCGCUUGGAUCGCUUUUCUUCUUCCUCCUUUCUUGUUCUCAACUCAAUUGUAAUCAAAGCAAGAGACACCAAGUUGUGGUGGUCCUUGUAGUGGACUAAGUGUCCUGUUUGAUUGAAGAGAAAAGCUCACUCAGUCUAGGUGACCGUUUGAGAGAGGGAAAGGGUUGAAAGAGACCCGGUCUUUGUGACCACCUCAACGGGGAGUAGGUUUGCAAGAACCGAACCUCGGUAAAACAAAUCAUCGUGUUCAUUCGUUUUAUUUCUUUGUUGAUUUGUUUUCCCUCUCUUUCGGACUCGAUUAUAUUUUUAACGCUAACCCCGACUUGUUGUUGUGCUUAAACUUUAUAAAUUUCAGAUUUGCCUAUUCACCCCCCCUUUAGGUGACUUUUAGUCUCAACACCUCCUCUCUCGUACGAUGCGCUUUACCAUGGAAGAUCCACCGAGUAUAGUCUGGCGUAAAUCUGAUCUUCCAAAUAUGUUCUACCAUGGCCUUCUUUGAUUUUCUUUUCCGGUUGGCACAUUUGCUGCACGGGCAUGGGACUAGACUCGCUCCUUUAGCAGCUUUGCCAUAUGCCCGUUCCACAAAAGCAUCGGUCUUUCUAAUCCAUUCAGGGGUGACAUCAUUCCUACUUACACGGCAUGUGUACAUCCACUCACGGUCUUCCAUCCUCUAACAUAUGUAACCGAGUAUAGUUUAAUAUAAACAUGUAAUGCAUGUACGCUAUGUUCCUACCUUAUAAUAGGUGAGUAUAGUUCUUAAUCUCACUCGCGGUUGCGUAGACGAAGUUAGUUUCCAUGCUCUACUUCGAUCCAAGACAGAGUUCCGGCAGCACCUCCCCGUUGUUCUCCGGAUACACGCCCUAGCAGGUAGAAUGUACUGUCCGGAGAUCAACAUGGAGGUGAAACCGAAACUCUGUCUCGGACCGGAGUAGAGCAUGGAAACUAAUACCAGGGCGACGGUGGAGUAGGGAUAGCGGGGCUGUGGCGGGUCGGUGCAGUGGCGACGUGUCGCAGUGCAGGUUCUAGUGUGGCGGCAAGGAAUACCUCUGCAAAAAAAAAUUAACACAAGUUUAUCAACAAAAAAAUCGGCAGGACUUCCCCUGCACGAGGAGGUUGCAAAAAACCAGCAAAUAAAACUAACAGCACGAUGGCUGACAUCCACACAUAUACUAGCAAAAAAUAGACUUGCGUGUGUUAUUUACAAUUGUGUUAGUUACACACAAUCUAUUGAUGCCAUAUUUGUUGUGUACUAGCGAUUGGCAAGAAGAAUCAACUUUUAGGCACUAAAACAUCUAGUGGGUUCAAAUUAAAGAACUUCUUCUAUUAAUUACAGAACCACCCCAUCGGCCGACCAGGAUCCAAAUUAAAGAACUUCUUCUUCUAUUAAUUAUAGUAUAUUAUAAUUACCAAGUCUCUUCUUAUAUUUACAUGUUCAUUUGCUUGCUUCUUGCAUAACAUAACGGCGAUCGAUGAUGACCAUCGUUAGUUUUAGUCCUACGUGUAUUUGAUUCAAUCCCUCCAUGUUCAUAGUAUAAAUUCAACCAAACCUAAAUAAGUUUCAGUCAGCUUGAUCUUAAAAUUGCAUCAUACACACACAUACAUAGUCUUACUAGAAGUAAGCAAUUUCUUUUAAACUAAUUUCCAGCCAACAUUGAUGAAUGAACUAGAAUGUGGCUAUAACCGAGACCUGUGUGGGUGGUGCUGGAGAUGGGGACGUUGGGCCGAGGCUCACCGGCGUCGAGGCCUGUCCGAAGAUGGCCGACCGCCAGGCCGGGGACGGGGCUCGUUGGAGAUGGCCGGGUCGAGCGACGGUGGGGACGUCGGAGGCAGGGAGGAUGGCCGGCACGGUGUCCGGAGCCGGAGGGGAUGACCGGAGAGGAGGAUGGUCGGCGCUUGCUCCGAUGGCGUUGGCGGCGAGUGGCGUUGGCGGAGGGGACGACUGGUUAGGGCUAUGUACACAGACUUUGCCGAGUGCCAUAUCACGGGCACUCGGCAAAGAUUUUUUUUAAAUUUAAAAAUAAACUUUGCCGAGUGUCACAGAUCACUGACAGGCACUUGGCAAAGAUUGUUUUAAUUUUUUUAAAAAAACUUUACAGAGUGUCCCACGGCAGGCACUCGACAAAGAAUGCUUUACUGACUGCCUUAUUUUGACACUCGACAAAGAAUUCUUUGCCAAGUGCCCGAUAAAAAGCACUUGGCAAAGCACCGAGCACUCGGCAAAGAGCCGGAUUCCGGUGUGGUUGUUUCAUGGAAGUUGUAAGUAGACCAUCUUAACAAGGUCAACAAUAGAAGUACAACUCACAACAUUAGAUACUGCCAAAGUUAAUGUUGAGAGGCUUCGUGAACUCCUUAUGGAUUUACUAGUAGUUGAAAAACCAAUACUGGUUAUCUAUAUGAGCUAUAAUAAUUAAACAUUGGUAAUCAAAGUGAACAAUUCUUAGGUUAACAUGAAGACUACAAAGCAUGUCAAGAACGGUUGAAACUGUUAAAACACUAAGAAACUCUAGAUUAAUUGUGUUGGACUAUGUCCAUACUUCUAAGAAUUUGGUAUGCCAGUUUAUAGAAGAUUUGUCACAUAAUGUGAUAGAUGGUGCAUCGAGAAAGAUGGACUUGAGACCCACUUAAUGCCAUUCCAUAGUAGUAGCAUUUUCUAUGUGAUUGGAGAUCUCAUGAAGUAAAAUGGUGAAAUAAGCUAGAGAAUGACUGAUGGAGAGACUCCUUAAAUAAAAUCUAGGUAAUUUCAUAUGAACAUUUCUCCUUCGAUGUACGAUAGGCUAACUAAAAUCUUAAUAUGAUUUGAGUGACAUAUCUAAGCAGGGAUGUUAUCUUAUAGAACAUCCUAUAAGGAACACACCUAUAUGACUUUGACUACUAAUCACAGUCUAUGAUAUGUGGGAAAUAUUUUUUUACUCAUGAAAGGCCUCGAAGUUUGACUUAUAUGCUUCAAACCAAUGGAUAACUGAUUGAAUCUGUUUCAGACAGCAGCAUAGUUAACUUCAAAAUUCUAUAUCUCCCAAACUUCUCAACCAAAAAUUAUUAAAUUAUGCUGACAGUAAGAACUUUUAUCCCUCUACAAAAGUCUCCAUAGUUGGAAGAGCCAAUUCGGCCAUUUACUAGAUGAAACCUACCAGUUAACAGACCCGCUCAUUUUUGUCAGGCAAACAAGAACCCUUAUAUAUCAAAGAGUAGUGGAUUUGAAUUUGUCUAAUAUGAAGUUUAUGGGCUUGGAUCAUUUAAAGUAUUUUAUAAUUCUGAAAGACAAGAUUAAACUAACUAUGUAUGAUCCUUUAGCACCGUACAGAUGGUCGAUGGGACAGUUACAUGGUUUAUAUAGAUGGACCUAUCUAUAUUCCUUCAGUGGUUGAGAACAAGGUAAAGGUGUGUCACACUCACGCGUGCGCCGCCUCCGCCGAGACGAGGCAUGGCGUUGCAGGGUGAGGCAUGGCAUGGUGCAGCACGAUCGCAGUCAUGGUCGUGGCACAGUGUAGCACUGUUGUGGAUAGAUAGAUAAACUAUUGUUGUAGUUAGAGUGCAUGAGUUUUUGAAUGCAACACUAGAAUUUUCACAAUUUAACUUAAUUAAGAAGUUAUAUCUUGAUGACACAGAGUUACCUGACCAUUGAUCUCACAUGCCCUUUUAGCUCUCUCGUACUCUAGACUUACCCUGACUAUUUAGGUCUCCUGACUCGCCAAUAUAAACACCAUCCUAUCAUUUGCUGUCGAAUACUUCUGUGUCACAACUCAACUGUCAGAUGAGUACUCCAUUACAGCACUGAGCAGGCCUCCGAAAUGAAUAUCUACUCAGAUGAAGGACGACAAUCGUGUUCUAGGGAAAUAUCAGCGACACAACUCCUUACUUCCUCCGCUUCUUCCUAGUGUUUUUUGUUGUGAUUGAGUCGACAUAGCAACAACACUGCACUAUUACAACCAGUACGACUAUAUCAACUAGCAAUGUCUUCCUUAUAUGUUACUAUUUAUUUUGCUCAUAUUCAUUAUGUUUAAAUCACAUAGGCGCCUUUAUGUUGGCAUCAAAAAAUCAGUAUCAACUUUAUAGAUUAAAAUGAAACUAAAAGUACCUAAAUUUCUAUCGGUGGGGAUCGAGUGAUUCUUUAAACCGAUUAUUACACAAGUUAACCACACUAAAAUUAACAAUGGUGAAUCGUGCCAUGAUUUUUUUCUAGUGGAAAAUAGCCAAACCAAGCAACACAUAUGUGGCUAUCGUUACACAUGUGUAAAGGUAUUGCAUCACACCAUUGUCACCCAUGUAUGUGGACAAUACCGAGAGGAAAAACCACUUAUUUAUUGUAUUUUAUCAAGUUUGUCUUGCUUACGUAUAAAUUAUAACCCAACAAAGUAAUCACUAAAUGUCAAAACCAACUAGAUACCAUGUCAUCUCUACCUUAUCUUACUAAUAUUCUUUUUGCAAAAUCCAAAAUUAAUCUUGCACAAGCACAAGGACUGAGAUGUGUAUAAAUAUCUCUUAAAUUAGUAGCUAAUAUAUCGCACAUAUUAUUGAGACCAACUAGCAACAUAGAAAGCACAAUAGUGUACCAACAAUGGCAGCCAAAAUAUUUUGCCUCCUUAUGCUCCUUGGUCUUUCUGCAAGUGCUGCUACGGCGACCAUUUUCCCGCAAUGCUCGCAAGCUCCUAUAGCUUCCCUUCUUCCCCCGUACCUCUCACCAGCGGUGUCUUCGGUAUGUGAAAACCCAAUUCUUCAACCCUACAGGAUCCAACAGGCAAUCGCAGCUGGCAUCUUACCUUUAUCACCCUUGUUCCUCCAACAAUCAUCAGCCCUAUUACAACAGUUACCUUUGGUGCAUUUAUUGGCACAAAACAUCAGGGCACAACAACUACAACAACUUGUGCUAGCAAACCUUGCUGCCUACUCUCAGCAACAGCAGUUUCUUCCAUUCAACCAACUAGGUUCAUUGAACUCUGCUUCUUAUUUGCAACAACAACAACUACCAUUCAGCCAGCUACCUGCUGCCUACCCCCAGCAAUUUCUUCCAUUCAACCAACUAGCAGCAUUGAACUCUCCUGCUUAUUUACAGCAGCAACAACUACUACCAUUCAGCCAGCUAGCUGGUGUGAGCCCUGCUACCUUCUUGACACAACCACAGUUGUUGCCGUUCUACCAGCACGUUGCGCCUAACGCUGGCACCCUCUUACAACUGCAACAAUUGCUGCCAUUCAACCAACUUGCUUUGACAAACCCAGCAGUGUUCUACCAACAACCCAUCAUUGGUGGUGCCCUCUUUUAGAUUUCUUAUGAGUUAUAGUUCAAUAAUAAAGUUUUUUAUCUGAUGUUUGUGGCUUCCCAGAAAUAAGAAAGUACAUUUCUAGAUUCUUAUGUGCUUCUAGUCUUCAAAUGUGGUUGAUAGUUAUUGUUGGGGACUUGUUCUCAAAUGCUAAGAGUUAAGAACAAGGCAACAUAAAAAUGUUAAAUGCUAAAGUCCUUCGUCCUUCGAAGCAUUAUUUCCCUUAGGAUAUAAUGAAUUUCGGACGAAGGCUAUGAAGGACAUACCUUCAUAAGCACAACGAAUGAUGAAGAAGAAUUCAUAUAAAUUAUGAGAUAUAACAUAAACAUUUAAACAUUAUUAUUAACUCAUUUCUAUUGACUUGUCAGGGAAAAAUAGAAAUGAUAAUAAAUUACAAAUAUACCUUCGGCUUGAGAGAAGGUAAAGGUACAAGCGUGAGGCAAAAGCAAAUGCCAAGUCAGCGUGAACAGUACGGGAACACUGUUCAUCUAUUUAUAGGCACGGGACGCAGCCCAUGCAAAAUUACAUCCAGGCCCUUUGCUUUUGACAAUAACUCUAUAGUAAUCUAUCUGGGUCUAGAUAGUCUUUUCCUCUUUAAGUCGGUUUCCUCUUUUCUGCCAUCAUACCGAAGCUCCCUUGCGCACAGCUUCGGCUCUGCUCCAUCCUUCGUAUUGUUUCCGUGCUUCUUCAUACCGUGGGCUCUUGUUCGAAGAUCCCUAUCCACACAUUAUACUCCAGAGGCAUUGUUAAAUCAUGUUUUUGAGGACCUUCGGAAGUCGAAGGCCCCCAACAGUAGCCCCUCGCAAUAUUAAUUUAUUAGAAUGAUAAAUUUAGAUCGCGACAUGGACGAAGGCCUUAAGCCGAAGGUCCGAAAAAACACCUUCCCUUUGCUAGAAUAGCAACAAUCAAUGACAAGCGGGGCCCUUUCCCUUGCAACACACUAGGCGUAUAAAUAAGAGCAUACCGCGAGCGGAUUUGGCACGCUUUUUGCCAUCUGCUCUUGCUCACCCAACUUUUAGCCCUUGCACACCAACACCUGCUUGGCCUUUUUUUAAAAAAAUUUAAGCUUCGGUUUCGAGAGCACUUUCUCAGCAUUUUCGAAGAUGUCUGAAGAUAAGAAAGUUGUCGCUGAGUCGAAGCUGAGACUUUCUGAGGAGAUGAAUCUCGGCUUUCUUGAAUCAAUAGCGAAGACAAAUACAGAGAAGAUUACUAGGGAGAUUUUAGAAGGUUUAUCUGAAGACACUGGUGACAGUGACAGUUAUGAUGUGGAAAGUGGUGGUGAAGAUUCCGAAGAUCGACCCUGGUGACCAAGCCAUGCAGUUUUUGGAAAAUCAAGCAUUAAACUAAGCCAUCUUGUUAAUAUGAGGGGCAGAUAUUUUCGGGAUUUAUCUAUUGUGAGGGCUGAUGAAGGAGAAAAAACUUGUCCUACUCCUGAGGAAAAUGAAGUCGUGAUAUUCCGAAGCUUCUUCAAGGCUGGGCUUCGGUUUCCUUUAAGCGGUUUCGUGGUUGAAGUUUUGAAGAUUUUUGAAAUCUACCUCCAUCAAAUUACUCCUGAAGCAAUCAUAAGGAUGGGAAUCUUCGUAUGGGCUGUGAAGAGCCAAGGUUUGGAGCCGAAUGCAAAAAGUUUCUGCAAUAUGCAUGAGCUAUUAUACGAGACGAAACCUUGGGGUAAAGAGAAAUAUCAUAACAAUUUUGGCUGCUACAGCUUCGGCGCCCGCUCUGGGUCAAGCUGUCCCGUGCCAACUUUUUGGAAGAGAUGGCCCGGGGACUCGAUGAAGGAAUGGUGUUAUGUAAAAAACGACUUGAAAACGCGAGAAGGUAUUAAAGAUAUCAUCAUGCGCCCCAUCUGGCAGCGUUUCGGCCUUCGGAAACCGAAGGUGGAUAUUGACGAAGCAACCGAAGAAUGCCAGAGGGCCUUCGGCGUAGUUUGCUCUUUCAUCGGGACAAGGGAUUUGAUCCAGGAACAUAUUUCCUUCAGAGUAUGGCCACUUGUAGAAAAGUGGGAAAUGCCGAAGGAAACCAUCAGCAAACCUGAUGAAGUGGACUAGUUAGGUUAAAAUAUACCUUCAGAUAUGGAGAUAAGUUUGUGGAGCCAGAUGAUGACUGGCUGAAAUGUAUUGAGGCCACAAGCGAUGAACUGCUUGGGCCAUAUUCGAAGACAGAAGAUACUGCACUGUCCGCGGCCUUCGGAGGUCGGAAGAAGAGACUCAACCGAGUGUUUGAUGCCAUUGGGUUCGUCUAUCCUGACUACCGUUACCCAACACAGGGUCAGAAAGGGAAAGAUACGACUUCUGUGAAGAAAGUUGCUUCAGCCGCUCCUAGUGAGCCGGCGCCGAAGAGGAAAAAGAUGAAGGUUCUUACGCACCGGCCACGCUAUAUUGAACCGGCCACAGUGCCUGAGUUUGUCGGUGAGACCUCUUCGGCCACCGAAGCCAAGGAGCCGACUCUCCUGCCGAAUAUUGAAGAGCCGGCCAAAAUGCCGGCAAUGGAAAAAAUAGAAGAACCGAGGGCUGAAGAGACAAAGACAUCGGAAAAGAAUGGUUAACGUGCUAAUGCCGAAUAUUGAAGUCCUUCAGCAAGAAUCGAGGUGCUAAUGCCAAUGCCGAUGGCACAAAAAGACCUUACGACAACCCCCAAGAGGAAAAGAAUGGUUAACGUGCUAGAUGUACUGGAAACGAUAAAAUCUUCAAGCUCUACUCCGAAGAUAGCUACUGAAGUUCCAAAGACACAAACUGAGGCCAAAGCUGCCAAAAGUCAAGCGGAAACUGAAACUGGGCUUUCAGAGCCUACCAAGAGGGAAUUCUUGGAAAUUGAAAAAGAAACGGAAAAAGAAUCUGCAGAAGAAACUUUUUCUGAGAAAAUCGUCACACAUAUUCCCGAAGCAUCUUCUGAAGCUUCUGACUAUGUAUUACGUCAUGCUUCGGGUAAAAAUCUGAGCGAAAAAGAAAAAAGAGAAGCUCAAUUCUAUGCGCAAAAAUUGAAAUAUCCAAAAGGGGCGCUGAUAUUCAACGGCAGCGGAGAAGAAGACUUCUUGUAUUGUCUCCCUCAUAGCAAGGAGAUUUCUGUCUGUCGGGAGAUGAGCAAAAGCUUCGGAUUCCCAACAUUAGAAGACGGGCUCUUGGUGUUGUCAAAGGACGAGCUAGCCGACAGCUUAGCGUAUAAUAGUUUAAAGGUGAAGAAAAUGAGAUCUUUGUAUUAUUUCUUGAAACCAAAAUUUUUCAUUUGCUUAAACUUAUUAACGCAUUUUUUUACAGGGUCUUAUACUUAGCAAUGCCCUCAGGGCACAAAAGAAUGACGAAGACGAAGGGUGCGCCAUAGCCCUGAGCAACCUUCGUUCCGAAGUAAUUGAUCUAAGGAACGAAGGUCUCGAAAAAGAUAAAAUAUUACAUUCGUUGGUGAAUAAAAUAAAAGAAGAUGAAGCUACUUUCAAAGCUCAAGCUGAGGCUCAGAAGCACGAAAUUGAGAAUCUUCGGAAACAACUAGCCAGAGCUACAGAAGAAUACACAAUUGAAGAAACAAAACGAGAAAUUAGUGAACAAUGGGCAAAUCAUUUAGAAAAAAACGUUGAAGAGCUUCGUGCGUCCAAGAAAAGGUGUUAUGAAAAAUCUAUAGAAUGUGUUAAGAAAAUAAGAACCAGCUUCACCAACGUUGGCGCGUUUUCAAGUGAAGAAAAUUUCAUGAGGGGUGACCCCGAAAGCCCAAUUGGAUGGAUCAGCCACGAAGCUGAAGCUUUUGAAUAGCCGUGGAGACAUAUGUGCCUUCUCGGGUGCCAGGGGGAUUGCCGCUGUUUUGGAGAAGAAAGGUUGCGAUCACGUGAAAUCCCUGGCACAGACCGAAGCCGUUUUAUCCUCUGAAGACAUAAAAGACCCUUCGGCCGAGGCGAGUUUGGUUGGUGGGAAAUUUUUCACCGACAUCUGGGAAAACGGUGGCCGGGAGAUGGCUCAAGAAAUUAUACGGAGAAGCGAGAAUGGUAUACAUGACGCUAGAAAAGUAGCAGAGGCCGCUGAGAAAAGUGUGGAUCUCGAAGGGCGAAUAGGUAUUAACUAGUAAUUUUUGGCUUUUUGUUGUAACCUUUUGAUUUUGAACUUGUUUACACUUUGUAACAUGGUCGCACCUUCUCCUCCCUCAGAGCCUGCCGAGCCAUCGACAGACCCCCACGUAAAGGGGGAUGACGAGAUUAGAAGAAUGGCUGAAGCUAUCAUGGACAAAGUUGUUGAUCAAUUACUAAACGAAGCUGCAGAAAUAGUUCUAAGGGAAGAUUAGAUGUUAUUGUAAAAACAUUUGGAAUGUAAUAUUUGUUGAACAAUAUGUGUAAUAUUUUGUAACUUUGAAUGUAAUAUAUAAUCUAUUUGUGGUUCAAUUCUUUACGAUGCAUGAAACUUUACAUACAUACCGUUUUUGAGCCUUCGGCGAAAAAACACCUUCCCUUCUUUUCAUGCUUCGUAAAUAAUAUCCGUAUAUCAUAAAAACAUCCAAUUUUCGUAAAAUCAGUAACCAAUAGAUCUUUUUAUUUCAUAAAAACAUCCAAUCUUCGUAAAAUCAGUAACCAAUCUUCGUAAAGGCAUGCUUCUUCAAUAAUUAUUUUUGUGCCUUGGCACUGUUUCUUCGAAACAAUCUCCGAAUAUCAACAUUGAAACCCCCUUCUUGCGUCAUUGAUGCAAUAUGAUGUAUGAUGUUAUGCUAUGCAAAUGAUGUGAUGAUGUGAUGUUAUGCAAAAUGAUAUUUGCCGAAGAUCAACGUUUAUUUUUCACUGCAAGCCUCCCUUAGGAGCUUCUUCGCCUUUUACUUCAGCGGAAUCAGCAUUUAUUUUUCGCUGUAAGCCUCCCUUAGGAGCUUCUUCGCCUUUUACUUUCAGCGGAAUCAGCGUUUAUUUUUUGCUGUAAGCCUCCCUUAGGAGCUUCUUCGCCUUUUACUUUCAGCGGAAUCAGCGUUUAUUUUUCGCUGUAAGCUCUGCAUUCCCUUCGGAACGACUUUUGAGCAGAAAACUUACGCUGCGCUCCCUUAGGAACGACUUUUUGUUAUUUCGGAGAUUCUCCUUGUAACCAUAAAUUCUUAUGCUUCGGCAACUCUGUUAUUUUGUGGAGAAGGUAUAUUUUUACUGUGGCGAAAACGAAGCUAUUACAAGAAAUUGAAAACGACAAAAAGCACUUAGGCUUUCAAUAAUUGUUCCUUAUUAAAAAGAAAAUGAUACUGAAUGUAAAAACUACUGCCGAGGUAGGAUAUUUGUUAGUAAAUAUGCUUCGAUUCUGGCACAGUACUAUUGACUGUGCGAGCUUCGGACUCUUCUCUAAAGUCCCGUUGAAGGUGGAUAUGCUGACUCCCUUCUGGCUGCUGGCUUUGUUGCAUUGGUGGUGGAGGUGGAGGCUGCUGCCAAGAUGCCUGAGGUUGGCUUGCCGAAGCAACAGAAGCUGCAGGGUGGUUGCCUACAUACUCUGGAAUGUAAGGCGAAUGGUAUGAAGCAGUGUGCAUAACUUGCUUCGGCUGGCUCUGUUGGGCUGCAGCUUCUGCUAUCUCCUUUUGUUUCUGGAUGGUAACAUGGCACAUCCUGGUGGUAUGGCCCUUGUCCUCUCCACAGAAUAGGCAAUAGAUCUUCCUGGGCUGAUCCCCAAAUCUUCCUCCGAAGCCCCUGGCACCUCUACCCCUUGGAGCUGGAGGCCGAGGAUAGCUCUGCUGCUGCCCCGAAGCCUGGGAGGAAUAUUGCGGCCUCUGCUGCUGGCUUCCCCUGUCAUCAUUCUGAGUGUUAUGAAUCGAUCUGACAUGUCUAGGGUGAACUCUCCCUCCGAAGCCACUGGCUAUUUUGGAGAACCUGUAAGCUUCCUCCCUUCUCUAUCGGAAGUCGUUGUCAGCGCGGAUGUAUUCGUCCAUCUUCUGAAGCAGUUUCUCCAGAGUCUGAGGGGGCUUCCUGGCAAAGUACUGGGCUGAAGGUCCUGGCCGAAGCCCCUUAAUCAUGGCCUCAAUGACAAUUUCAUUGGGCACUGUUGGUGCUUGUGCCCUCAGGCGUAAGAACCUUCGGACAUACGCCUGAAGAUAUUCUCCGUGGUCUUGGGUGCACUGGAAUAAGUCUUGAGCGGUGACCGGCUUCGUUUGAAACCCUUAGAAACUGGUGAUCAGCAUAUCCUUCAGCUUCUGCCAUGAUGUGAUUGUUCCUGGCCGAAGGGAGGAGUACCAGGUUUGUGCAACAUUCUUGACGGCCAUGACGAAAGACUUCGCCAUGACUGCAAUAUUGCCACCAUAGGAAGAUAUCGUUGCUUCGUAGCUCAUCAGAAACUGCUUCAGAUCUGAGUGUCCGUUGUACAUGGGGAGUUGAGGUGGCUUGUAAGACGGAGGCCAAGGUGUAGCCUGCAGUUCUGGUGAUAGAGGAGAAGCAUCGUCAAAAGCAAAAUUUCCAUGAUGGAAAUCCUCAUACCAGUCAUCCUCGUUGACGAAGCCCUCUUGGUGGAGCUCUCUGUACUGGGGCCUCCGGUUCUAUUCAUCUUGCGUAAGAUGACGAACCUCUUUAGAGGCUUUGUCUAUCUGCCUUUGUAGGUCAGCUAGCCGGGCCAUCUUUUCUUUCUUCUUUUGCACUUGUUGAUGCAGCAUUUCCAUGUUCCUGAUUUCUUGGUCCAAAUCGUCCUCCUGAGGCGUUGGACUGGUGGCCUUCCUCUUCUGGCUUCGGGCUUCCCGAAGAGAGAGAGUCUCCUGGUUCGUGUCCAGCGGCUGCAGAGCCGCAGCCCCUGUUGCUGAAGCUUUCUUUGGCGGCAUGACAAAGGUCGAUGCUUGCCGAAGGUGUUCGAAACUCAAAAAGUGGAAGUGAGUUCACCGGAGGUGGGCACUAAUGUUGGGGACUUGUUCUCAAAUGCUAAGAGUUAAGAACAAGGAAACAUAAAAAUGUUAAAUGCUAAAGUCCUUAGUCCUUCGAAGCAUUAUUUCCCUUAGGAUAUAAUGAAUUUCGGACGAAGGUUAUGAAGGACAUACCUUCAUAAGCACAACGAAUGAUGAAGAAGAAUUCAUAUAAAUUAUGAGAUAUAACAUAAACAUUUAAACAUUAUUAUUAACUCAUUUCUAUUGACUUGUCAGGGAAAAAUAGAAAUGAUAAUAAAUUACAAAUAUACCUUCGGCUUGAGAGAAGGUAAAGGUACAAGCGUGAGGCAAAAGCAAAUGCCAAGUCAGCGUGAAUAGUACGGGAACACUGUUCAUCUAUUUAUAGGCACGGGACGCAGCCCAUGCAAAAUUACAUCCAGGCCCUUUGCUUUUGACAAUAACUCUAUAGUAAUCUAUCUGGGUCUAGAUAGUCUUUUCCUCUUUAAGUCGGUUUCCUCUUUUCUGCCAUCAUGCCGAAGCUCCCUUGCGCACAACUUCUGCUCUGCUCCAUCCUUCGUAUUGUUUCCGUGCUUCUUCAUACCAUGGGCUCUUGUUCGAAGAUCCCUGUCCACACAUUAUACUCCAGAGGCAUUGCUAAAUCAUGUUUUUGAGGACCUUCGGAAGCCGAAGGCCCCCAACAGUUAUUUUGCUCUAAGAUCGGCAGUAAUGAAGUAUAAAUCAUCGUUGUGGUGUGCUACUCGGUUAAUUGAGCAUUAACACACACAAACAUGACGAGGAUGGUAUAAUCUCCAAAAAUGUGUACUUUGUUAGGUGGGACCCUAUAGCCUUGCAGAAUGUGCUAUGUUAGGCAUGCCUGGAAACGUGUGACGCAUACGUUUUGUGAACCUGUUCAUAUUAUAUGUGCUUUUAUAUUAUCGUAUUUUAUUAAAAUACUAAUAUUUAUUACUAGUAAGAUAUAACAUUCUAUCUAGCUUAAAAACUAACCAUAAAUAUUCCAUAAUAACUAGAUUUACCAAACUAAUAUACUAAAUAUACAUAAUAAAUACAAAAUUAACAAGACAAUAAUCAAUAUUUAUGAGCUUAAUAUAUUUAGACAUUAUGGUUGGUCGACGAUAAUCAUGCUAACUUUCCGUAAUUGCUUGAUUGUAAAUAUGCUUAGAAUAAUGCCUCUUUGUUCUACAUGGCAAAUAGGGACCAUUAUGGUGUAACACCCUGGGAUCCACAAACACCCUGAAAUGCUACUAAACUACACAACUAACCUUCAUAUAUUAAAUUUCGACAGCAUCUCCUUUGAAAAUUUGUAUAAACGUGGAAGCAACAGAGUAUAAACAGAUAUGAUGAUAAGGAAACAUAAUAGACAUUAAUAAUCUGCUAGAAAUGGGAAGAUAACCAUAACGACAUAAACUGAAUUAACUAGUGUGCACGGCAUGUUAAAAACAAACAUCGUUGACAAGAAGUUUCUAAUUAAAUCAUGGCUGUGCCUAGGCAGCGUUAUUAUAUGAGUGAAGGUGGACGUGAUGCUACUUCCCUCAUUCCCAACAUGAAUCAAGUACCUGUAUUGAGUAAUGCAAGAGUGAGAUGAAAACAUCUCAGCAAGUAAAUUGUUUUGACGAGAUAUUUAAACCAAAAAAAUUUGAUUUAAUCAACAUUUUAAAGGGAUCACAAUUGAGAUCAGACAUACUUGUAGAUAUAAAACUCAAUAGUCCCAAAAUAACCAAUGCCAUCUCAUUUCCACAAACAACCACAAUAGGUUGUAUAACACUUCCCUGCGUCAUCAAUACCUGCAAAUAUCACUUCAAUGUAUGCAUAGGAAUGCAAUGUUUAAGUCCUCUGCAUUCAUACUUCUUAGAGUAUAAAACCACACCAUCUGCAAAUAUCACUUCAAUGAAUGCAUAUGAAUGCAAUGCAUAUGUCCUCUGCCUUCAUACCUCUAAGGGUAUGAAGACGCAUCGUACCCCUCCUCGGGCAACGUACGAUGCUAAGUUGUACCGGUACGGUCGGACCAUAGGUCACGACAAAACUUCAGAUGCAAGUGAAUCAUGACAUGUAUAUGGCAUGCUGCAUUUAUCAAUAUACUACACUUCCUUCACAUACAAUACAAACCUCAAAUAAUACUUCGUUUACCUUCAGAUACAAUACAAACCUCAAAUAAUACUUCAUUCACCUUCAGGGGUGUUUAUUAAUCUCGUGGGUCAUACUCAAAUCAUCAUCAUCAUCAAUGAUGUUUAAGCAUCAGUAUAAUACAAUCAAGUAAAGCAUCACCAUAGAGUUCAAUUAUGAAAGAAUUCGAUGAUUCUGAAUAUUAGAGUGUAUGCGAUGAAACAACAAAGUCAAAACGGUAGCAACCACCGCUACAUUCACUUGCCUUCAUCGAAGAAGAAAAAGGUACUAGGCAUGAUUCGGAGUGUAGACACCUGCUGUGGGGCUUAAAACUUAGUACAAAUAUUCCACAAACAUUUGCCAACAACUAACAAAUCGCUCCUACACUUGUAACCAAGACCCGGUGGAAUGACUCCCACCCUGAACCACAUGUCAAACAGCAGGAGUGCUGUUUGUUAAUUUUGUAUCUUUAAAAUUAUAACAGUGGUGAUAUCAAACAAAUACUCUAGAAGUUUCUACACAAAAUACUCUACAACUUCGGUAUUCAAUGGAUAAUUAAAUUUUGCCAUCUAUAAGUUCUAAAACAUCUGACAAGAUAACUGACAGAAUCUGUUUCAGACAGCAGCAUAGUUAACUUCAAAAUUCGAUAUCUCCCAAACUCCUCAACCAAAAUUUAUGAAAUUAUGUUGACAGUAAGAACUUUUAUCCCUCUACAAAAGUCUCCAUAGUUGGAAGAGCCAAUUCGGCCAUUUACUAGAUGAAACCUACCAUUUAACAGACCCGCUCAUUUUUGUCAGGCAAACAAGAACCCUUAUAUAUCAAAGAGUAGUGGAUUUGAAUUUGUCUAAUAUGAAGUUUAUGGGCUUGGAUCAUUUAAAGUAUUUUAUAAUUCUGAAAGACAAGAUUAAACUAACUAUGUAUGAUCCUUUAGCACCGUACAGAUGGUCGAUGGGACAGUUACAUGGUUUAUAUAGAUGGACAUAUCUAUAUUCCUUCAGUGGUUGAGAAAAAGGUAAAGGUGUGUCACACUCACGCGUGCACUGCCUCCGCCGAGACGAGGCAUGGCGUUGCAAGGUGAGGCAUGGCAUGGUGCAGCACGAUCGUAUACAUGGUCGUGGCACAGUGUAGCACUGUUGUGGAUAGAUAGAUAAACUUUUGUUGUAGUUAGAGUGCAUGAGUUUUUGAAUGCAACACAAGAAUUUUCACAAUUUAACUUAAUUAAGAAGUUAUAUCUUGAUGACACAGAGUUACCUGACCAUUGAUCUCACAUGCCCUUUUAGCUCUCUCGUUCUCUAGACUCACCCUGACUAUUUAGGUCUCCUGACUCGCCAAUAUAAACACCAUCCUAUCAUUUGCUCUCGAAUACUUCUGUGUCACAACUCAACUGUCAGAUGAGUACUCCAUUACAGCACUGAGCAGGCCUCCGAAAUGAAUAUCUACUCAGAUGAAGGACGACAAUCGUGUUCUAGGGAAAUAUCAGCGACACAACUCCUUACUUCCUCCGCUUCUUCCUAGUGUUUUUUGUUGUGAUUGAGUCGACAUAGCAACAACACUGCACUAUUACAACCAGUACGACUAUAUCAACUAGCAAUGUCUUCCUUAUAUGUUACUAUUUAUUUUGCUCAUAUUCAUUAUGUUUAAAUCACAUAGGCGCCUUUAUGUUGGCAUCAAAAAAUCAGUAUCAACUUUAUAGAUUAAAAUGAAACUAAAAGUACCUAAAUUUCUAUCGGUGGGGAUCGAGUGAUUCUUUAAACCGAUUAUUACACAAGUUAACCACACUAAAAUUAACAAUGGUGAAUCGUGCCAUGAUUUUUUUCUAGUGGAAAAUAGCCAAACCAAGCAACACAUAUGUGGCUAUCGUUACACAUGUGUAAAGGUAUUGCAUCACACCAUUGUCACCCAUGUAUUUGGACAAUACCGAGAGGAAAAACCACUUAUUUAUUGUAUUAUAUCAAGUUUGUCUUGCUUACGUAUAAAUUAUAACCCAACAAAGUAAUCACUAAAUGUCAAAACCAACUAGAUACCAUGUCAUCUCUACCUUAUCUUACUAAUAUUCUUUUUGCAAAAUCCAAAAUUAAUCUUGCACAAGCACAAGGACUGAGAUGUGUAUAAAUAUCUCUUAAAUUAGUAGCUAAUAUAUCGCACAUAUUAUUGAGACCAACUAGCAACAUAGAAAGCACAAUAGUGUACCAACAAUGGCAGCCAAAAUAUUUUGCCUCCUUAUGCUCCUUGGUCUUUCUGCAAGUGCUGCUACGGCGACCAUUUUCCCGCAAUGCUCGCAAGCUCCUAUAGCUUCCCUUCUUCCCCCGUACCUCUCACCAGCGGUGUCUUCGGUAUGUGAAAACCCAAUUCUUCAACCCUACAGGAUCCAACAGGCAAUCACAGCUGGCAUCUUACCUUUAUCACCCUUGUUCCUCCAACAAUCAUCAGCCCUAUUACAUCAGUUACCUUUGGUGCAUUUAUUGGCACAAAACAUCAGGGCACAACAACUACAACAACUUGUGCUAGCAAACCUUGCUGCCUACUCUCAGCAACAGCAGUUUCUUCCAUUCAACCAACUAGCUGCAUUGAACUCUGCUUCUUAUUUGCAACAACAACAACUACCAUUCAGCCAGCUACCUGCUGCCUACCCCCAGCAAUUUCUUCCAUUCAACCAACUGGCAGCAUUGAACUCUCCUGCUUAUUUACAGCAGCAACAACUACUACCAUUCAGCCAGCUAGCUGGUGUGAGCCCUGCUACCUUCUUGAUACAACCACAGUUGUUGCCGUUCUACCAGCACGCUGCGCCUAACGCUGGCACCCUCUUACAACUGCAACAAUUGCUGCCAUUCAACCAACUUGCUUUGACAAACCCAGCAGCGUUCUACCAACAACCCAUCAUUGGUGGUGCCCUCUUUUAGAUUUCUUAUGAGUUAUAGUUCAAUAAUAAAGUUUUUUGUCUGAUGUUUGUGGCUUCCCAGAAAUAAGAAAGUACAUUUCUAGAUUCUUAUGUGCUUCUAGUCUCCAAAUGUGGUUGAUAGUUAUUUUGCUCUAAGAUCGACAGUAAUGAAGUAUAAAUCAUCGUUGUGGUGUGCUACUCGGUUAAUUGAGCAUUAACACACACAAACAUGACGAGGAUGGUAUAAUCUCCAAAAAUAUGUACUUUGUUAGGUGGGACCCUAUAGCCUUGCAUAAUGUGCUAUGUUAGGCAUGCCUGGAAACGUGUGACGCAUAUGUUUUGUGAACCUGUUGAUAUUAUAUGUGCUUUUAUAUUACCAUAUUUUAUUAAAAUACUAAUAUUUAUUACUAGUAAGAUAUAACAUUCUAUCUAGCUUAAAAACUAACCAUAAAUAUUCCAUAAUAACUAGAUUUACCAAACUAAUAUACUAAAUAUACAUAAUAAAUACAAAAUUAACAAGACAAUAAUCAAUAUUUAUGAGCUUAAUAUAUUUAGACAUUAUGGUUGGUCGACCAUAAUCAUGCUAACUUUUCGUACUUGCUUGAUUGUAAAUAUGCUUAGAAUAAUGCCUCUUUGUUCUACAUGGCAAAUAGGGACCAUUAUGGUGUAACACCCUGGGAACCACAAACACCCCGAAAUGCUACUAAACUACACAACUAACCUUCAUAUAUAAAAUUUCGACAGCAUCUCCUUUGAAAAUUUGCAUAAACGUGGAAGCAACAGAGUAUAAACAGAUAUCAUGAUAAGGAAACAUACUAGACAUUAAUAAUCUGCUAGAAAUGGGAAGAUAACCAUAACGACAUAAACUGAAUUAACUAGUGUGCACAACUUGUUUAAAACAAACAUCAUUGACAAGAAGUUUCUAAUUAAAUCAUGGCUGUGCCUGGGUAGCGUUAUUAUGAGAGUGAAGGUGGACGUGAUGCUACUUCCCUCAUUCCCAACAUGAAUCAAGUACCUGCAUUGAGUAAUGCAAGAGUGAGAUGAAAACAUCUCAGCAAGUAAAUUGUUUUGACGAGAUAUUUAAAGCAAAAAAAUUUGAUUUACUCAACAUUUUAAAGGGAUCACAAUUGAGAUCAGAAAUACUUGUAGAUAUAGAACUCAAUAGUCCCAAAAUAACCAGUGCCAUCUCAUUUCCUCAAACAACCACAAUAGGUUGUAUAACACUUCCCUGCGUCAUCAAUACCUGCAAAUAUCACUUCAAUGUAUGCAUAGGAAUGCAAUGUUUAAGUCCUCUGCAUUCAUACUUCUUAGAGUAUAAAACCACACCAUCUGCAAAUAUCACUUCAAUGAAUGCAUAUGAAUGCAAUGCAUAUGUCCUCUGCCUUCAUACCUCUAAGGGUAUGAAGCCGAAUCGUACCCCUCCUCGGGCAACGUACGAUGCUAAGUUGUACCGUUACGGUCGGACCAUAGGUCACGACAAAACUUCAUAUGCAAGUGAAUCAUGACAUGUAUAUGGCUUGCUGCAUUUAUCAAUAUACUUCACUUCCUUCAUAUACAAUACAAACCUCAAAUAAUACUUCGUUUACCUUCAGAUACAAUACAAACCUCAAAUAAUACUUCAUUCACCUUCAGGGGUGUUUAUUAAUCUCGUGGGUCAUACUCGAAUCAUCAUCAUCAUCAAUGAUGAUUAAGCAUCAGUAUAAUACAAUCAAGUAAAGCAUCACCAUAGAGUUCAAUUAUGAAAGAAUUCGAUGAUUCUGAAUAUUAGAGUGUAUGCGAUGAAACAACAACGUCAAAACGGUAGCAACCACCGCUACAUUCACUUGCCUUCAUCGAAGAAGAAAAACAUACUAGGCAUGAUUCAGAGUGUAGACACCUGCUGUGGGGCUUAAAACUUAGUACAAAUAUUCCACAAACAUUUGCCAACAAUUAACAAAUCGCUCCUACACUUGAAACCAAGACCCGGUGGAAUGACUCCCACCCUGAACCACAUGCCAAACAAUAGUAGUGUUGUUUGUUAAUUUUGUAUCUUUAAAAUUAUAACAGUGGUGAUAUCAAACAAAUACUCCAGAAGUUUCUACACAAAAUACUCUACAACUUUGGUAUUCAAUGGAUAAUUAAAUUUUGCCAUCUAUAAGUUCUAAAACAUCUGAUAAGAUAACUGACUGAAUUUGUUUCAGACAACAGCAUAGUUAACUUCAAAAUUCGAUAUCUCCCAAACUCCUCAACCAAAAAUUAUGAAAUUAUUCUGACAGUAAGAACUUUUUUCCCUCUACAAAAGUAUCUAUAGUUGGAAGAGCCAAUUCGGCCAUUUACUAGAUGAAACCUACCAGUUAACAGACCCGCUCAUUUUUGUCAGGCAAACAAGAACCCUUAUAUAUCAAAGAGUAGUGGAUUUGAAUUUGUCUAAUAUGAAGUUUAUGGGCUUGGAUCAUUUAAAGUAUUUUAUAAUUCUGAAAGACAAGAUUAAACUAACUAUGUAUGAUCCUUUAGCACUGUACAGAUGGUCGAUGGGACAGUUACAUGGUUUAUAUAGAUGGACCUAUCUAUAUUCCUUCAGUGGUUGAGAAAAAGGUAAAGGUGUGUCACACUCACGUGUGCGCCGCCUCUACCGAGAUGAGGCAUGGCGUUGCAAGGUGAGGCAUGGCAUGGUGCAGCACGAUCGUAUACAUGGUCGUGGCACAGUGUAGCACUGUUGUGGAUAGAUAGAUAAACUUUUGUUGUAGUUAGAGUGCAUGAGUUUUUGAAUGCAACACAAGAAUUUUCACAAUUUAACUUAAUUAAGAAGUUAUAUCUUGAUGACACAGAGUUACCUGACCAUUGAUCUCACAUGCCCUUUUAGCUCUCUCGUUCUCUAGACUCACCCUGACUAUUUAGGUCUCCUGACUCGCCAAUAUAAACACCAUCCUAUCAUUUGCUCUCGAAUACUUCUGUGUCACAACUCAACUGUCAGAUGAGUACUCCAUUACAGCACUGAGCAGGCCUCCGAAAUGAAUAUCUACUCAGAUGAAGGACGACAAUCGUGUUCUAGGGAAAUAUCGGUGACACAACUCCUUACUUCCUCCGCUUCUUCCUAGUGUUUUUUGUUGUGAUUGAGUCGACACAGCAACAACACUGCACUAUUACAACCAGUACGACUAUAUUAACUAGCAAUGUCUUCCUUAUAUGUUACUAUUUAUUUUGCUCAUAUUCAUUAUGUUUAAAUCACAUAGGCACCUUUUUGUUGGCAUCAAAAAAUUAGUAUCAACUUUCUAGAUUAAAGUGAAACUAAAAGUACCUAAAUUUCUAUCGGUGGGGAUCGAGUGAUUCUUUAAACCAAUUAUUACGCAAGUUAACCACACUAAAAUUAACAUUGGUGAACCGUGCCAUGAUUUUUUCUAAUGGAAAAUAGCCAAACCAAGCAACACAUAUGUGGCUAUCGUUACACAUGUGUAAAGGUAUUGCAUCACACCAUUGUCACCCAUGUAUUUGGACAAUACCGAGAGGAAAAACCACUUAUUUAUUGUAUUUUAUCAAGUUUGUCUUGCUUACGUAUAAAUUAUAACCCAACAAAGUAAUCACUAAAUGUCAAAACCAACUAGAUACCAUGUCAUCUCUACCUUAUCUUACUAAUAUUCUUUUUGCAAAAUCCAAAAUUAAUCUUGCACAAGCACAAGGACUGAGAUGUGUAUAAAUAUCUCUUAAAUUAGUAGCUAAUAUAUCACACAUAUUAUUGAGACCAACUAGCAACAUAGAAAGCACAAUAGUGUACCAACAAUGGCAGCUAAAAUAUUUUGCCUCCUUAUGCUCCUUGGUCUUUCUGCAAGUGCUGCUACGGCGACCAUUUUCCCACAAUGCUCACAAGCUCCUAUAGCUUCCCUUCUUCCCCCGUACCUCUCACCAACGGUGUCUUCGGUAUGUGAAAACCCAAUUCUUCAACCCUACAGGAUCCAACAGGCAAUCGCAGCUGGCAUCUUACCUUUAUCACCCUUGUUCCUCCAACAAUCAUCAGCCCUAUUACAGCAGUUACCUUUGGUGCAUUUAUUGGCACAAAACAUCAGGGCACAACAACUACAACAACUUGUGCUAGCAAACCUUGCUGCCUACUCUCAGCAACAGCAGUUUCUUCCAUUCAACCAACUAGCUGCAUUGAACUCUGCUUCUUAUUUGCAACAACAACAACUACCAUUCAGCCAGCUAUCUGCUGCCUACCCCCAGCAAUUUCUUCCAUUCAACCAACUGACAGCAUUGAACUCUCCUGCUUAUUUACAGCAGCAACAACUACUACCAUUCAGCCAGCUAGCUGGUGUGAGCCCUGCUACCUUCUUGACACAACCACAGUUGUUGCCGUUCUACCAGCACGCUGCGCCUAACGCUGGCACCCUCUUACAACUGCAACAAUUGCUGCCAUUCAACCAACUUGCUUUGACAAACCCAGCAGCAUUCUACCAACAACCCAUCAUUGGUGGUGCCCUCUUUUAGAUUUCUUAUGAGUUAUAGUUCAAUAAUAAAGUUUUUUGUCUGAUGUUUGUGGCUUCCCAGAAAUAAGAAAGUACAUUUCUAGAUUCUUAUGUGCUUCUAGUCUCCAAAUGUGGUUGAUAGUUAUUUUGCUCUAAGAUCAACAGUAAUGAAGUAUAAAUCAUCGUUGUGGUGUGCUACUCGGUUAAUUGAGCAUUAACACACACAAACAUGACGAGGAUGGUAUAAUCUCCAAAAAUGUGUACUUUGUUAGGUGGGACCCUAUAGCCUUGAUUAAUGUGCUAUGUUAGGCAUGCCUGGAAACGUGUGACGCAUAUGUUUUGUGAACCUGUUGAUAUUAUA
rnacentral:lncRNA from 1 species